rnacentral:lncRNA from 1 species
CAUUUGAUUUCGGUUUGUCUCAGAUUUCUCAAAAAUGGCUGAAUUUACAUACAUACAUAUUAGAAGAGGCGUGUGGGGUCAGCUUCAAAAACAUGAUAGUGUUUUCCAGAGGUUUGGUAUAAAAUAGUUGUUGUGCCUUAUUGAAAAAGGAUAAAAAUAAUAAAACAAUAUAUUUUGUCUUCCAAUUAUUUUGCUGAGAUUAAAAGCUAUCCAACGGUCCAAUUAAUCUUAAGCUGUAAGUUCUGUUAUUUUCUACAACACUUGCACCGUGUUUGCCUGAGUUAUUUCAACUUGUCAGUAACUUAACCUUAAAAAUAAUUUUCUAAAUGGCGUUUUGAAACUGCUCAAGGUUCAGUUAAGUCACAUCAGCUGUGCCCGUCUACAUACGCGUGAUCUCAAUAAUUCAUUCUUCAUGGAGUUUUGUCAAACCGGUACCUUUGGUCUCAACUGCGGAUGUAUUUUUGAGUGGUUUAAAUUUCAUAUACGGUCAUUGAACUUUACUGAAAUUUCAAUUGGGUCNNNNNNNNNNNNNNNNNNNNNNNNNNNNNNNNNNNNNNNNNNNNNNNNNNNNNNNNNNNNNNNNNNNNNNNNNNNNNNNNNNNNNNNNNNNNNNNNNNNNNNNNNNNNNNNNNNNNNNNNNNNNNNNNNNNNNNNNNNNNNNNNNNNNNNNNNNNNNNNNNNNNNNNNNNNNNNNNNNNNNNNNNNNNNNNNNNNNNNNNNNNNNNNNNNNNNNNNNNNNNNNNNNNNNNNNNNNNNNNNNNNNNNNNNNNNNNNNNNNNNNNNNNNNNNNNNNNNNNNNNNNNNNNNNNNNNNNNNNNNNNNNNNNNNNNNNNNNNNNNNNNNNNNNNNNNNNNNNNNNNNNNNNNNNNNNNNNNNNNNNNNNNNNNNNNNNNNNNNNNNNNNNNNNNNNNNNNNNNNNNNNNNNNNNNNNNNNNNNNNNNNNNNNNNNNNNNNNNNNNNNNNNNNNNNNNNNNNNNNNNNNNNNNNNNNNNNNNNNNNNNNNNNNNNNNNNNNNNNNNNNNNNNNNNNNNNNNNNNNNNNNNNNNNNNNNNNNNNNNNNNNNNNNNNNNNNNNNNNNNNNNNNNNNNNNNNNNNNNNNNNNNNNNNNNNNNNNNNNNNNNNNNNNNNNNNNNNNNNNNNNNNNNNNNNNNNNNNNNNNNNNNNNNNNNNNNNNNNNNNNNNNNNNNNNNNNNNNNNNNNNNNNNNNNNNNNNNNNNNNNNNNNNNNNNNNNNNNNNNNNNNNNNNNNNNNNNNNNNNNNNNNNNNNNNNNNNNNNNNNNNNNNNNNNNNNNNNNNNNNNNNNNNNNNNNNNNNNNNNNNNNNNNNNNNNNNNNNNNNNNNNNNNNNNNNNNNNNNNNNNNNNNNNNNNNNNNNNNNNNNNNNNNNNNNNNNNNNNNNNNNNNNNNNNNNNNNNNNNNNNNNNNNNNNNNNNNNNNNNNNNNNNNNNNNNNNNNNNNNNNNNUUUGGUCUCAACUGCGGAUGUAUUUUUGAGUGGUUUAAAUUUCAUAUACGGUCAUUGAACUUUACUGAAAUUUCAAUUGGGUCCAUAGAACUUUAGUUUGUCUCGGUUAAAUCAUUGAACUUCAAUUUAAUUUUUAAAUUCAUUUGUAAUCAGGGUUAAAUUAAAAACAAAACAAACUCCAAUAUUUCCCAUAAAAAGGUAUUCCAAAAUUAAGACAAAAUUCACAAAAGAAAAAAAGAAGAAGAAAAAAACGUGUAUAGGAACUGUAAGUAUUAUGCCUUAAAUCAAAUCAAUUUUGAACUUUUAAAAUAUAAUUGAUACAAUUUUAUGACAAUUAAUAUUCAAUUAAAUUAAAUAAUAGAGUCCGUAAAUUCAAAUUUUAGUAAUUUGCUAAUUACAAAGAGUUGUGAUUGUAAUAUACAAAUUACUUAUAAUUGAAUUUUAAAUCAUCCAUGGUCAUAAAUAAUAAUGAGAUACUGAUAUCGUUAUUACGAAUAGAUCAUCACGUAUGACAUUUCUUACUUGUUAAGCAAGUAACUGAUCUCACAAACUAAAACUUGGUGACACUUAAAUGAACACAUGGAUGUUUUGUUCUAAAAUAAAACAUUGAAGAUCCGCUGGGGAGAUUCCACAUAGAUAACUGUUUGAGUGUUAAUAAUUAAUCUCUAAUAUUCCGUAGUGAAAUUUGUCAUUUGACUUGAGGUUAUUAUAGUGUCUUAUAUGAUGACAGUCAUACUUUGGUGAUAUUAGAUGUUGAUUUGUCAAUGACUGUUAAUACGGUAUUGUUCGGGUAUGUCAAGAAUGAUAUGAAGGUUGUAAAUGAUCAAUAGAUGUUUUAUCACUCUUAGAUAGUAAGAAAUUAUGAUCUAUAUUUCAUUCAAUUAAGUUGAUAACGAAAUUCUUAGUCAAAAUGUAUACAUAAGUCGAAAAGGAAUUUUCAACUUAUAUUAAAUUAUAGUGGAAUGAAACACAUAUUCAUAUCUCGUAAUUGAUCGGAUCAUAUUGACGAAUGGAUUAUAAUUUAAUGGUAAACGAACAAAUUUGGUUUUGUCAAAUCACGUGACAUUUCCAAUCACAUGUAUUACCUUAGUAAAUUGCUAGGUAUCAAUUUGGGACGACGAAUGUGAAUUGUUUAUAAAUUAAAAAGUGAUAUUUUAAUUUAUUGAUUUUGAUUAAAUCAAAAUAAUAAUUCAUGUUAUUAGGUAUCGUAUUGAGGACCUUAUAGUCGCACAAUUAAUUAUUUGGAUUGCUUAUUAAUAGACCCAAUGGAUCAAAUUUAAUUAACUGAAUUAAUUAAAUAUUUAACCAGAUUAAUUUUGAGUGGUGAGCUAAGUCCACUUAGACGUAUAUUAAUAGGUUAUUAGGGUUUUAAAAAUCUGUAGAGAAUACAAUUUCACAUUCUUGCUAACAAAAUAAAAAUAAAAAUCAUAGUUCUCUCAAUCUUGUUCCUCGUGAGAAUUUUUAUUGAAGGCUGAAUAAUUUGACAGCUAUGGAUUACAGAUUGUGAUUGUUCAAGUUCAAAAAAAACAAAGAAAUUUAUAGAAUUCAACAAAAAUAUAAGUUCUAUCACAUUUUCUAUCUAAACACAAAGCGUAUCAUUGUUUGGAAUUGAAAUUAUUUUAUUUCUGCAUGGCACAAUACUAAACAAGUGUAAGCAAUUUACCUUGCAUGGGAUGACAUAAAUUCAUGUUCGUUGAAUGCCCUCCAUUCAAUUUAGCCUCGAAAAUAGGGAUGGCAACGGUUCGGUUUUGGUUCAGUUCAGCCAAAACCAUCACCGAAUCAUCAAAUUUUUUGUCAUACUACAAUCGCACUAUAACCACGUAAAUCGGUUCGGUUUGUAUCUUGGUUCAACUCGGCUUGAUUCGGUUAGUAACCACAAAAAUAAAUUAUUUUUUAUAGGUCCAUUCGUCAAAUUGAUAUAAAACAAUUUAUGAAAAGAAAGUCAAUGAAAACAAAAACAUAAUGUCCUUGUCGGAGCCCCAUUUUUUCCAAAAAAAAAAUACAUUCUUAAACAAUGUUUUGACAUCAUUUAAACCACACAUUUUUCAAUAAAAUAAUAUUACACGUAAAUCCAAGACUUUUCUUUAUUUUUUAACCACAUAUUUCCCAUCAAUAUACUAUUCAAAAAUUCAUUUUCUCCACCAAAAUGGGGCUCAAACAAGGGUAAUAUUCCACAUGAAAAUGCAAUCAUGAUCCCAAAUUCCAAUUGUAAAAUACAAAUUUAACAAACAAUAUUAUGAAUAUAACAAUACUAAAUAUUUCAUUCAUUUUUGAUUCUUGUGCAUUGUAGUUAUUUGAUUCAUGCUUAAUAAUUCAAAAUCUUCAACCUUAACUCAUAUUCAAUUUUUAUUCUUUCCCACAACUCUAACUAGCAUAGAACAGUACUCAAAAUUGAUUCCUAUAUAGUAAAUAAGAAAUGUAAGUAGAGAAUACAACGAUAUUACCUAAUCCAGAAUGAUUUUAACUAAGAUUUAAAUAAAAAAAUAUAUCUCUUUGUCAACUUUCUUAUUACGAAACCUUGUCACCCCAAAUAAAAGAAUGAUUUUUUUUUAAGCGGGUAAUUAGUUCAAUUUCAAUUUGACAGCAUAAAUACCAUACAUGCAUCACCACGAACCGAUUCAUUAAAAUCAAAUACCAUAUUCGCCUCAUUGCACCAUCGGUUCGAUUUUUUUCGCUCCAUUCGAUUCGGUUAACCGCGAUUUUCGAUUUUAACAGUUCAAAUUGCCAUCUAUACUCGAAAAUGCCCUUAAAUACCCCAUCCUUCUCAACAUUCAUUCACAUUUUGUUCUAUCUAUCAUAUUUAUGUGAUAUAUAUGGCAAAUUGUACGUAAUUAUAACACUCUUAGCCUUGUAGAAGUGUUGAUGAUCAGAAAAACUUCAUUUGUUACGUCGACGUGGGCGACUGCUUCUGUAUUGGUUGCAUUUUCUGGGGUGUGGCAGUGCUACCAAUUCUUGGUGGUGUUGAAGGAAUCGGUGGAGCCGAUGGCCUUGGAGGUGUUGGAGCCUCAUUUUUGCCUUUGACACCCACGUGUAGGAUUUUUUUUUUGUUUUUCAACGGAGCCUACAUGUUGAUCGCAGUUGCUCAUUGGGUGCUGGCUCCUCUACUGCUUGUCGUUACUCCACCUCCAAACUGAUGAAAGAUACUUAGUUGGCAACAACAUAAUAGUUAAUCUUAACGUAAUCGCUAUACCUCGCAAUAGAAAUUAAAAUAGUAAACUGAAGGUUACUACAAUGUCUUUAGAUUAAAAGGUUUUUCUCUAAUAUAUUUUAUCACUUUUAUGACAUGUCAUAAUAGUAAAUUGACAUGUCACACAACGAUUACAUGAAAGAUAUAGUGCAGUCUAACUACAAAUUAUGCAAUUUUAUCAAUUUGAAAUACAAUAAGCGAUGGAGUAGUAAAAUUUGAAGCUAAAUAUGAGAUACACAUGGCGGUGUUGAUCGGUACAAUAAUUAUUAAUUAUUCAAUAAGUUUUGUAUUUAUUUAUUCUGCGAGUUAGAUGUAAGUGCAACACCUAAACCUAACUUUCAACAAAUGUAUCUAGCUUUUCUUAAUUAGUUCCAUAAAUAACAUUAAGGAAACAUUAAUCAAUCAAUCAUACUUAUUAUAGUAACAUGCAUUAAAUAAAUUUAGUAACACUUGAACCCCAAAGACUUCGAGACGUCCCAUUAUGUUUUGUAUAUUGACUUUGACUUUCUCACAAUUGGAGCAAUAAUAUAGUGCAAAUGGCUCCAACAAUCACAAUUAACACACACCAUAUAGUUUUUGACAAAUAUAUUCAAUAAAUGACGUAAUAAUCUUUAUUUAUUAUAGUAGUUGACGAUAAUAUGUUAACGUGUGUAAAAUUGUCCAUCAAUCAAGGUUGAUUGUUGUGCUUGUUCAAGUAGGUUACCAAAAGAUACUCAAAUAAGAGAAAUAUAUAAUACAUAAAAUCAUUUCGACUUUCGCACUCAAUGCAACUUUGAUGAGGUCGACAUUAUGAUACAAGUUGUCGCAUCUACAAUUAUUUUUGUAGCUCAAACAAAGAAAAUGAUCAAAGUGACAUUGCAAUAAAAAGAAGAACGCCAACACUUGCUCUCUCAAAUGCAUCGAUUAAUUCAGUAUAUUGACGACCCAAGGCUUAGCGUCUCGAGUGUCACAAAGCAUGCUUGCUUGGAAGCUAAAUUUGCAAUCCCUUUUUCCUUAAAGAGUUAAAAACUACUCUUUAAUUUUAAAGCUAGUGCAAAAGACGAGAAUUGACUCUCAAAAUAAUUAUCUAAACUCAAAUUUAUUGAUCUUUAUUAAUCACCUAACCGAAUUAUACAACAUAUUUAUGACAUACAGCACAGGCAGUUUCAAUAUUGACCAACCAUUUAAGAGAUAACGAUGUGUAAAAGGGUGAAAUACAGCUAAACAACACGUUGCAACUUAAAAUUCCAUAGUUAUGACAUGCAAUAAUGCUAAGCAAAAAGUUGUAACAUAACAUCUUCACGUUACAACAUAAUAUAACAUGAACAUACUCGCUAAACGAUUAAAAAAUAAUAGUAAUCCUAAAAUAGCAAAUUUUAUUCCCUUUAUAUAUCUUCUUGAUUCAUUCCACUUUGUAACUUUCCGAUGCAUCAUCCAUUCAUCGCAACUACUCAUUUCAAGCCAUUACUUGAAAUGUUAUAGGAAAGAUGAGUCUAAAAGAACUACACUACAUGAGAUAUAUGGUCAUUAAUUUCUAGUAGUAAUAAAAACCUCAUUAGUUUACCUAAAUUAUUCUUAUAAACAUUAAAGUCGAAAAAUCCAUGCCGCCACUGGCAUACAAUUAAUUAUAAUUAUAAUUACACACUUCACGUAUUCAUAACUUUUUAACCACACAUUCUAUCAAUUUUUAUAAAAAAAUAUUGAAAACCUUAUUUUUAUUUAAACCAAACAAGGUUAUGUAUGAAUACUUGCUUACAGUGGACUUCCUUCUUGAAAAGUGUAUGAAUGCUUGCAGGGGCGAAUCCAGAACUUCGACUAAGUUAGAACGGCCGUUGAUCGUUGAUCGUUGACUGUCGAUAGUUGACGGCUAUAUAACGAUAUCGUUUAUUAAUAUUAAAUAAAAUAAUAUUAAAAAUUCUUCGAUUUACAUGUAAAUACACUAAAACAUAAAAAUCGUAUAUUUAUAUCAUAUUAUAUUUCAACGCAAUUCGAAAUAAUAUGAAUUACAUAAUACAUAAAACUUCUUUGUGUUAUCAAUACUUAACAAAUCGUUUGCUUGACUAAAAGUAGUUGAGAAAUUAGAUACACCACUACAAGAACUAGAUUGAGAUUCAGUUGAAAAAAUCAUUUCAUAAUUAGUAUGAUAAUUGAACAUUAAUCAAAGAUUAAAUAUAAUUAAAAUUAAUUUUAAAAUAUAAUUAAAGUUUCAAUUUCCAAUUCUCAACACCAAUUUAUCACAAAUUAUAAAUUUCCCAAUUUCUCAUUUUCAAUCUUCAUAAAUCACAUAUUCACAUUUCACGAUACUCAAAUUAAUUUUUAAUAUCACAAUUCAUAAUAGACAAAUUCUCAAAUAAUAUAUAAAUUAAAACUCAAUACUCAUAAAUCAAAUCUUAUAAAUUAUUAAAGCAUAAAAUAUUUGAAACGAGAAAAACCAAUAAAAAAAAUAGUCAUUGACUUGCCUAGAGUCUUAACAUAUAUUAUUUUGUUAAACUUAGAUUCAAAAUUCAACCAUUGCCAUGAUAGUUAAACUUCCAAUCAUCUAAAUUAAAAGUUAUUGGUUCGAAUCUUUUCCUUAGGGAAUUAAUUUUGGUAAAUAUUGUAGAAAUAAAAAUUUUGCGCAAUGAAAUGGACGGGAAGGAAUUGAACCCAAGACUUGUAAUAUAAAAAUGCAAACUCUAACCAACUAAGUAAAAGAGGGGUUUGAAAAUAAAAUGAACUACUAGUUAUAUAACCUGAAAUUUUUAUCUAUUAUAUAAAAAAAUAAAAAAUAAAUUUUUCUCAGAUGAAUCCAGUUAGGACGGCCAACCCUUAAAUCCACCACUAAAUGCUUGUUUGAAAUAGAUGCACUUUCCUAAUUUUCUCUCUUUGAAAGUAGUGUGCGUGAGAAUUUAUGGAGAAUUUUAAAUGUGUGGAAAUGGAGUGUAAAUAUCAAUGUUCUCAAAAGUGUAUCUACGCUAAGGGCUAGGGCAAGGCGAAAAAAUGAUGGUCAACCUGGUCAACGUAGGGUUGACCAUCUGGUGUGUAGUAAAUGUUCCUUUAUCUCCCAUUAGUUUCUUGGAACGAGCUGCAAAAGUUUACAAAGAUAGAACGUUAGUUGAGUAUGGUUCUAUUAAGUAUUCUUGGGAAAGACUUGCAUAAGGUGUGUUAAGCUGGCUUUUGCCUUGACCCAGCUCAGGAUUUCUCGGGAUGAUAUUGUAAGUUUCCAUAGAUUGGGCAUUUCUUGUUUCACUAUCAAUUAUAAUCUCCAUUUUUGUUUUUCUGUUUCAUUCACUUAGUUUCUUCAUAUUUUAUGCGUCUUUGACUGCAACUUUUGCUGGCUAAUGCUUCUCCUUUCAUUUAGACAGUGAUAUUUCAUUCAAAUUUCAUGGGAUCGAUAUAAAUAAAAAUACAAGAUGGUAGGUUUUAUUGAUUUUAUCACUUUAUCUAGACAUUAUAGAAGAUUUCAGUGAACAUGACCGAAAAUUUCUUUAUCGUUCAGAGCUUCUAUGGAAAGAGACUCGGGAUUAGGCAGGUCAAUUUUCCAUUUAAAGCCUGAAGGUGAUGAGUGUGGUUCACUCAUUACAUUAAUGCUACUAAAUCUUGAUAUUUCAUUUGAUUCGUAGAGUUUUAGGACAUUUUAAUUUGUGUUUCAUGUUGUUUUAUAGCUUAGGUAAAUUGGUGUGAAUGGUAUAAAACUUGAAGAAAAUAUUGAUGUUGGCAUGAAUCAAGGAUGUUAGGUCCAAUAUUGUAAUUGGCAAUUCUAUGAACAAAAUGGACUAAAUCGAUCACUUGUAAAAGUCAAGAACUUAGUUGCAAUUUUGAAUAGUUCAGGUAAGUUCGAGUCAUUGAAGGAGUCCAAGAUGUUCAAAAAGAUUACAUAUGACCAUUGGAACGUAAUUAGAAGUUUAAAGGAUAUCAAAGAGCUGCACAAGUUAUAUUCCAAAUUCUCAGUCGUAAUUUGCAAUGCAUUUUUCACAUAGAAAACAUUGGAAUUUGGACAAGGAUAUUCUAAAAGAAUUGUAUCCUUUGAGUUAGCUUUCUAAUGCACGUUGAAUCACCUCAAUCGAAUAUCAGGAGAGAAAGUUAUGGUGAAAAUACUGACGACUGCUCAGCUAUCGUUCGAUUCACGUUGACUUUUUGCUUGAGCAAAAAAUCAGAAUGGCUCUCACUCGAUUCUUGCUAGAUUGCUCGAGUGACAUUCUUAUGCUGCAAAACCCCUAGUUCACAUUUUAAGUGUUUUACUCAGCCCAUACCACCAAAAUACCUUCAAAUAUAAAUACCUACGACCUAGCAUGAAUUUUUGUGUGAUUGUUCAUUGUGCCUCUAUUAGAAAACAUAUUCUUAUCAUUUUUUGAAGAUCCAAGAGCAUGUCCAAGCAUUGAUUCAUUUUAUUUGUUCUUAAGAUCCAACAACCACAUAUUAGGGAAAACAUUAAAGGUCCGAUAAUUUAAAACACAUAUCUUCCUUAAUUAUUUGACGAAGCGACUCUCUCAUUGGGGUAUUAAGAGAGGUGGAUUUAAGAGCAUUUACAAGCACAAGAACAGACGGUUCUUGGUGGUCCACUUUGGAAAAACAUUCAGUAUAGACGAGGAGACGGUAGAUUGGGCUGCGGGUGGUAGACUUGGAAGUCUAAGAGGAGAUUAGAGGAAUCUACGGUAGUAGGAGGCUGCAGGAGGUAGAUCAGGAGUUCUAGCACUAAAGGUGUCUACAACAGUAGAUUGUAAGGCUGUGGUAGUGGGUCUUAACAGGUACAAGGAUAGGCUUGUCAUUGUAUACUCUGAAUUGUCUAUAGAAGAGGUAACUAUUUUGGUUUCGAAAUUUUACCCACGUUGGGGUUUUUUCGUCAUCGUAUCUUGCGUUAUUUAUUACUUUUCACUAUAUUAUAACUGCAGCAUUCAAACAUAGGAUAAUUGAAUUGUUUGUUUAACCACCUAGACAUCUAAUUAAAGUAACUUUUUGCUUUAGUUAGUUUAUUUCGUACGUAAGAUCGAAUAAUUUAUAAUCUGGAACGUAAACUCGAUAAAUCCUAAAACUUGUGUUGGUAUUAGACCGUUCUAGAUUCUUUCAAACGAGAAGUUGAUGUUAAUUUGGUGAAAUUUGAUUUAGGAUGAACUUAUAAUCAUGGAAUCGACUCGAUCAUCAGAUUAUAAGUUCAUAACCCUAGCCCAUUCCCAUUUUGGUCGGAAACUAAGCUCCCACUCACGACCCAUGUAACAAGCUUUGAGGACUCAAUUGCAACUUUUAGUAGUUGAUUCGGACCACAAAAUAAUAACUGAAGAUUGUUAUGAGUCAUCUGAAUGCAAAUAGAAGUAAAACAAAAGUGAAAUAUGAUCAAAAUAUUUUCAGAAGUACGUUUAAAAUUUUUAACUGGAGAUUUAGACCAAUUUUUGACCUGGAAAACGUUAUAAUUGGAAAAGGUCAUCAGAAAUAAAGUUGUUGCCCUUGGAGUUUUCUUUUCAAUGCAUUUUGAAUCACCUCAAUCGGAUAUUGAAAGAAGAAGUUGUAAUAAAAUACUGAAAGAUGCGCAGUGCUGUUUUUUUACCCUGAAAGUCGGUGUUGUAGCGCCACUAAUGCUAAAAAUCAACAGCAUCGUGGUGCCGCAACGUUGCCAGCAUGAGAAAAAGAAUUUUAAAUUUUUGAACUAUUUUUUUGGCCCAAUUCAACCCUAACUCUUCCAAGAUUUCAUGAUAAUAUAAAUACAGCCUUAAAGACCACUUUUCAACUACAAUUCAAUCUCACAAGAAGCAAGCAAUCAUUAAGAAAUCAAGAACAACAUCGCAAAGGAUAUUGAAUAUCUACCAAAACUAAUUUUUCUAUUAUUUUCUCUAUGUUGUUUAUUUGAAUUUCAUUAUUUCUAAAGCUUCUAUCAUGAACUAAACAUCUAAUCUAGGGUUUGAUGUACUGAAAACUUGAGGAUAUGAUUUUAUUUUAUUUUAGUUAUUUUUAUAAAAUAUACAUUUCCGUUUAUUUGUGUUAUUGAUUUAAUGCUUUUAGUUGAUUGGUUACUAAUUGAAUGAUUAGAUGCUAGUCAAUUUCGGCACUCAAGAGAUGAAAAUUUAGGCGCGGUCAUAACAAUAACAAGAUUUUACAGAUUUCGAUAGAAAGUUUAGAAUCUAUGAAAGUUAUUCCAUCAAAGAACCAUGAUUUUGAUAAAUUUUGAUUUUAAUUUGGAACAGAGAUAUUGGAAUUAAUUUCUAGGAUUAAUUUGUUGGACCCUGAGGGAUCGUAAUGAAUUAGAUUAAUGACACAAUAUGAAGUAAUAAAAAUCAAAACAAGAAAUAAAAUUAAAAGUAAAGAACAAAGAGAGUUAAUCGCAGAAAAACGAUGUGUAUUAACUGACAAUAUGGAGAAAAUUUACAAAUACAACAAUAAUGCAUAAACAAAAUUGAUAGAGGAACUUUGUAUUUAUAGGCUACGUUCCAAACCCUAGAAGGGUUCUAAAAGGUAAGAAAAUCUAUUAAAAUUAGGUUAUAAUUACGGAUAGAACUUUGACUGAGAGAGGAUUUCCUUUCCUUAUUCAACUUGCAUACAACCUUCCUUUCCAAGUAAAAACUAAAUACACAAUCUUACAAGAUUUCUAACCAUAUUUGAGUCACAAAACCUAACAAUCUCCAUCUUGACUCAAAUUGGGUGCAAUGGCAGAGCUCCACAAAAUUUCUCCACAUGAGAAAUAAACCCUUUUGCAUCGAAAUGAAAUGGCCAAUCUCCUCAACGAAGUAACCAAAAGUUUUAAUAUAAACCAUUAUCCUCUACACGGCAUCCAUAAGCGACACCUGAACCCUACUCUCGGGUUCCCAAAAUUCUACCAAGGAAUUAAUGUUUACCAAAAAGGGUCGAAACACACCUUGAGCAGAAAACAUACAAAAUGCCCGAACAGACCUUUGCUAGAAUUGUCACUUUCAACGUCCCCAAUAGCAUUACAAAUAUCACUGACAUCACGGUACCUAUGCUCAAUGGAUCCAACCCUAGCAACUGAAUACAGCGCAAUCACUGAAAUUGGUGGUAAAGCGGAAUCACUAACACUCUCUCGAGCAAUGUUCUGAAUCAACUUAGAGUCUGUCACAAGAGGUACUAUACCAAAUUGAAUUUCCACUACGAUACUAAACUUGUCUAAAUGUCUCUUAACUGGUUCUGCGCUUUCCUGCAAGAUGUAUAACUAAAACUUCUUUCGUCCCUCCAGUAUAACUCGGACACCCCUUCGAACCUCAAGACUCCACCUCCACCUCCACCAGAAAAUUUAAACAUUUUUGAAUCAAGGGAGAUAAAAUUCCUCUUUAGAUCUGGAACAUGUUGAAUCUGAUCAAUUGUUUUGACCAUCCCAUCUUAUAGCCUAAAUCUGACUCGACUGAUCCCAACAAUAUGGUAAAACUAGUUGUUUCCUAGUACAACUCUACCUUGUUGAAUAGUCUCAUAUAUCUAAAAGGAAUUUCGAUUGGAACACAUAUGAUGCGAAUAUGCCGAAUCGAAAAUUCAUUCCUUGUCAGGCCUAGAUUCCAUUGUCAACAUCACAUUUCCACCGUCUGAAAAAUCCUCAACUACAUUUGUUUCGUCUGAAGUCAAAGGUUGAGCCCCAUGAUUUGUAGCUAAAUCACAUUUAGCCUGCAACUUAUCGCAAUCCUUCCGAGUAUAACCCUUACUUCUACAGUAGAAGCAAAACAAAUUGCUAUUAUUCUUUAAUAUGCCCCUUCGUCGAAGACUAUGAGAUAUAAGAGCUUCUUCAUCCCUCAAUGUAGAUCCAAUCAAAUGUUUCAACUUAUCCUUUGAGUGCAAAGUAUGACGUCAUCCAUAGUCAAAGUAUCUCGAUUAUAAAAAAUGUUGUCCCAAAACGACGCAUAAGAGCCAAGCAGCGAACACAAUAGGAUCAAGGUCAGAUCCUCUUCAUCGUACUUAACCUCCAGCGUCUCCAAAUCUGCAAUAUUUUCUUGGGCACGACAAUAUGGUCUUCCAAUGAACAUCCUUUUGCCAUGCGAUGGGAAUACAGUUUCUACUUUAAAGUCAGCUUGCUCCUGAGACUUUUAAUCAUGCAUAAUUGUUCCAGUUUCAACCACAAAACAAUCGCUGUUUUUUCCUCCAAGACAUCUUACAGAAUAUUGUGGAUAAAUAAAAAUGGAUCUGCAAUAAAGCCUUCCGAUCCCUUCGUCGUUUUUCUUCAUUGUUCAAUCGGCUGAUGUCUUCUCAAAAUCCAGCAGCGCAUCGUCCAAAUCCAAUUGCACCAAAAUAGCCCUCAUCUUUACUUGUCACAAAGAAAAUCUUGUAAUGCGAUCCAGCAACGGAAUGUCACGAUCCAGCAGCAGAAUGUCAUACUUCAUGGUAGUCAUUUCGGAAAAAACUUCAACCAAUCCACAGAAGAAGAACCAAGCUCUGAUACCACUUGUUGAACCCAGAGAAAUUGUAAUGAAUGAGAUUAAUGACACAAUAUAAAGUAAUAAAUAUUACAACAACAAAAAAGAUUAAAUGUAAAAAAGAACAAAGAGAGUUAAUCACAGAGGAACAAAAUAUAUUAACUAACAAUAUUGAGAGAAAUUACAGACACAGCAGCAAUGCAUUAAUAAAACUGAUAGAGUGGCCUUGUAUUUAUAGGCCACAUUUCAAAUCAUAGAAGACUCCUAAAAGAUAAGAAAAUCUGUUUAAAUUAUGUUACAAUUGUGCAUAGAACUUCGAUCGAGAGAGAAUUUUUUUCCUUGUUCAACUUGGAUACAAUCUGCAUUUCCAAGUAAAAAUCAUAUACGCAAUCUCACAAGAUUCCUAACCAUGUUUGAGUCACAAAACUUAUUAAUAGGCUGACCAUUCAGGCCCCAUUAGUUGUCUUUGAUUUCCAGCAGUUUUUUAAGCAAUGAGUCAUUUUUCUUCACCUUGCAUGCCCAAGAACGACUCUUAUGAGGUAGAUUUAAUAGUAUUAAAGACGGAAAAUAGCCACAAACUGUGGAAGAAAGAAUAUAGAGAAUGCAAUUGACCUAACUUCCAAACACUUUUUAGCAUGCCAUGGAUGCUAGUUUAUGGACGACUUUGUUCCUGUUUCCAGCAUUAAAAUUGACAACCUACAAUUAAUAUUAGACGCUUUACCUGAUCCCCUUCGUCAGCUAUUUGAUUGGGUACUAUUACCUAGGUUCCUAGACACGGAAUGAAUGGUCGAGCACAAGUGGAAAGCAGUUAUUUGAAUACGGUGGUUUACCUAUGGAAGCUUCUCUAGCUUUUGUAAGAAUUGUAUGGGAGUCAUUCUCGGAGGGACUUCCCGAAAAGAAAUAACUUACAGAACCACUUCAUUUGGAGCAAAACAAGAGUUUCAAACACUUUUUGACUCAGGAACAUAUGCUAGUUUGUAGGUCACUUUAUUCACAUUUCUAGAGAUAAAUUGACAUCCCACAAUUUAACAUUUUGUAACAAAGCAAUUAUAUCUGAAAGAACCACUUCAUUUAGAGGAAAUUGAAAGUCUAAACAUAAGCUCUAAACUGGACUUUCCUCUGGAAACUACUAGCAUUACUACUAUGAAUUUCAUGAUUUAUUUGUUCAAAAUCAAUUUUUCAAACGAGAAAGAUAAAAGUAUUUGAUACAUUGAUACAAAUAUAUAAGCUACUUGAAGCUUGUUUAAACAACUUACUAGAAUGCUUGCAACUUUCUACAAAACAUCGGUAUUUUAGACCCAUCGACAAUCUGGCAAGACCACAUGUUACCACAUCAUCGGUGGGCAACAUAUCUUUUGCCCACUAGAUCAGUUAUAUGAAUAUAACAUACUACAAACACCGCAGGAGCAUGAAGCCAAAGGAAUACAAGGAUCUUCUGAGUAAUUUGAUUAUAACAUACAAGAAGUCAUUGACACGGUUGUAAUGAUAUGUUUAGUACAUUAAGUUAUAUAUUAUUAAAUAAAGGUUCGGGACUCAUUUACAUUCUUCCAAAGGUUAGAUCUAAUUAAGGCAUAUUGAUCUUUUUAUUAUUAAAAAAAAAAGAAUCAAUUACACACCAAAACACAUAGUUUUGAGACAUCUCUACCAAGAAAUAAACAUUAGAGACUAUUUGCAAAUUGUAGGCAAAUGUUAUCAUUAAUUGCAUCAAAUUCCCUUUAUCUUUUGUCUUUGUUCAAAUUUUUAAUUAUUGUGAAAUUGGGAAGAAAGGCACUUUGACUUCACGAAAGAGAAACAAUGUUGGCAAGUGAUUGGGAUGGGUGGCGAGGUGGUGGUGAAAAGUGGUGUUUGAUGAAGAAGAUGACUUUUGUUUUACCAAAGUAGUGUAUCCCUAAAAGAUAGUUUAUUUCGUUUUUUCUUUAAUAAAUUAGAAAGGAAUUUAAUAAUUCAUAACUAUUUACGUUAAAAUGUAAGAAAACAAUACAACAAAUUCUCAGUUUAAAUCUAAUGCAAUUUGGGUUAGGUUUACAAAUUUGUCAAACCAUUAUGAACGAGUUAUUUUGAAAAUAUGUCAAAAUUGUACAGACUAGACCGUUUGCAAUCUUUUUCAAAUUAAAUUGGGAUAUUUCUUGAAUUUCUUCAUAACAAUUGCUAGCUAUGGUUGAAAAUGACAUAUCAAUCGGUCACAUAAUUUUGUUGUUUACUUCCAUGACUACAAAAUGUUCUAGAUUAUUAGAUCCAGCUUAUGAUAAGGAAGUAACUGGUCCAUGCUUUUAUUGUGGGAAAACAUCAAUUAUUAUAAUUGUUUUGUUUUUAUUCGUGAGCUCUACCUUGGCCGACUUGUCAAGAUCAUUUCGAAUUUAAUUCGGCAACAAAUUCUUGACACUUCUAUAUAAAAUUGUAACAAGAAUUACAUUUCUAUUAGUUGCUACGUAACCAACUAAUAUAUGGUCCAUUAACAUUGUAAUCAAAAUGAUAUGGAAAUCAUAGUCGCAAUAAUGGGAAAAUACAUUUGUUAGUUUUUCAUGUUUAUAAAAUCUAGCGUCAGUUAGAGGACAUCAACUUCUCUUAAAAAAACAAAAAACGAGUUCUUUUACUAGUAAAAAAUUUCCUACAAAAAAUAUUUUGGCUUCUAUAUAAAAAAAUAAAAUAACCUCGGCCAAUAAUAAAACUGAUAGAGUGGCCUUGUAUUUAUAGGCCACAUUUCAAAUCAUAGAAGACUCCUAAAAGAUAAGAAAAUCUGUUUAAAUUAUGUUACAAUUGUGCAUAGAACUUCGAUCGAGAGAGAAUUUUUUUCCUUGUUCAACUUGGAUACAAUCUGCAUUUCCAAGUAAAAAUCAUAUACGCAAUCUCACAAGAUUCCUAACCAUGUUUGAGUCACAAAACUUAUUAAUAGGCUGACCAUUCAGGCCCCAUUAGUUGUCUUUGAUUUCCAGCAGUUUUUUAAGCAAUGAGUCAUUUUUCUUCACCUUGCAUGCCCAAGAACGACUCUUAUGAGGUAGAUUUAAUAGUAUUAAAGACGGAAAAUAGCCACAAACUGUGGAAGAAAGAAUAUAGAGAAUGCAAUUGACCUAACUUCCAAACACUUUUUAGCAUGCCAUGGAUGCUAGUUUAUGGACGACUUUGUUCCUGUUUCCAGCAUUAAAAUUGACAACCUACAAUUAAUAUUAGACGCUUUACCUGAUCCCCUUCGUCAGCUAUUUGAUUGGGUACUAUUACCUAGGUUCCUAGACACGGAAUGAAUGGUCGAGCACAAGUGGAAAGCAGUUAUUUGAAUACGGUGGUUUACCUAUGGAAGCUUCUCUAGCUUUUGUAAGAAUUGUAUGGGAGUCAUUCUCGGAGGGACUUCCCGAAAAGAAAUAACUUACAGAACCACUUCAUUUGGAGCAAAACAAGAGUUUCAAACACUUUUUGACUCAGGAACAUAUGCUAGUUUGUAGGUCACUUUAUUCACAUUUCUAGAGAUAAAUUGACAUCCCACAAUUUAACAUUUUGUAACAAAGCAAUUAUAUCUGAAAGAACCACUUCAUUUAGAGGAAAUUGAAAGUCUAAACAUAAGCUCUAAACUGGACUUUCCUCUGGAAACUACUAGCAUUACUACUAUGAAUUUCAUGAUUUAUUUGUUCAAAAUCAAUUUUUCAAACGAGAAAGAUAAAAGUAUUUGAUACAUUGAUACAAAUAUAUAAGCUACUUGAAGCUUGUUUAAACAACUUACUAGAAUGCUUGCAACUUUCUACAAAACAUCGGUAUUUUAGACCCAUCGACAAUCUGGCAAGACCACAUGUUACCACAUCAUCGGUGGGCAACAUAUCUUUUGCCCACUAGAUCAGUUAUAUGAAUAUAACAUACUACAAACACCGCAGGAGCAUGAAGCCAAAGGAAUACAAGGAUCUUCUGAGUAAUUUGAUUAUAACAUACAAGAAGUCAUUGACACGGUUGUAAUGAUAUGUUUAGUACAUUAAGUUAUAUAUUAUUAAAUAAAGGUUCGGGACUCAUUUACAUUCUUCCAAAGGUUAGAUCUAAUUAAGGCAUAUUGAUCUUUUUAUUAUUAAAAAAAAAAGAAUCAAUUACACACCAAAACACAUAGUUUUGAGACAUCUCUACCAAGAAAUAAACAUUAGAGACUAUUUGCAAAUUGUAGGCAAAUGUUAUCAUUAAUUGCAUCAAAUUCCCUUUAUCUUUUGUCUUUGUUCAAAUUUUUAAUUAUUGUGAAAUUGGGAAGAAAGGCACUUUGACUUCACGAAAGAGAAACAAUGUUGGCAAGUGAUUGGGAUGGGUGGCGAGGUGGUGGUGAAAAGUGGUGUUUGAUGAAGAAGAUGACUUUUGUUUUACCAAAGUAGUGUAUCCCUAAAAGAUAGUUUAUUUCGUUUUUUCUUUAAUAAAUUAGAAAGGAAUUUAAUAAUUCAUAACUAUUUACGUUAAAAUGUAAGAAAACAAUACAACAAAUUCUCAGUUUAAAUCUAAUGCAAUUUGGGUUAGGUUUACAAAUUUGUCAAACCAUUAUGAACGAGUUAUUUUGAAAAUAUGUCAAAAUUGUACAGACUAGACCGUUUGCAAUCUUUUUCAAAUUAAAUUGGGAUAUUUCUUGAAUUUCUUCAUAACAAUUGCUAGCUAUGGUUGAAAAUGACAUAUCAAUCGGUCACAUAAUUUUGUUGUUUACUUCCAUGACUACAAAAUGUUCUAGAUUAUUAGAUCCAGCUUAUGAUAAGGAAGUAACUGGUCCAUGCUUUUAUUGUGGGAAAACAUCAAUUAUUAUAAUUGUUUUGUUUUUAUUCGUGAGCUCUACCUUGGCCGACUUGUCAAGAUCAUUUCGAAUUUAAUUCGGCAACAAAUUCUUGACACUUCUAUAUAAAAUUGUAACAAGAAUUACAUUUCUAUUAGUUGCUACGUAACCAACUAAUAUAUGGUCCAUUAACAUUGUAAUCAAAAUGAUAUGGAAAUCAUAGUCGCAAUGAUGGGAAAAUACAUUUGUUAGUUUUUCAUGUUUAUAAAAUCUAGCGUCAGUUAGAGGACAUCAACUUCUCUUAAAAAAACAAAAACGAGUUCUUUUACUAGUAAAAAAUUUCCUACAAAAAAUAUUUUGGCUUCUAUAUAAAAAAAUAAAAUAACCUCGGCCAAACGGGCUCUUAAGAUUUUAAUAUUGUUUGUAAGAUGACCAAAAUAGUUCUUUUUUUAAAAAAAAUUGUGAAUUUUUAAAUUGUUGCUUAUUAAACGUAUGGAUCAAUUCAAGCCUUGGUACUACAUGUGAAUACAUUCUGAAUGAAAUAUUUUUAAGGAAGAUUCAUUGGUCCAUGUGUGUCAUUAUGAUUUGAUACUUGUGGUGUAUAGUUAGAUCAUUGAUUCUAUUGGAUCCCACAAGCUAUGUUCAAUAAUUUAUGAGUAGAGAGAGUUAGAUUGUAUACCAUAAAUUCCAUAACCAUAUUUGUUGAGCUAUUCUAGAAAUGUCAAUGUUCUUUCAUCAAAUUGUUCGCUUUUGUUUUUUUUAUCAUUCUAAACGAGCUAGAGUAUCCAAAAAUAUGUAUGUAAAGAAGAUAUAUGUAUUUCUAAAAUUUGCCUACAUGAAAUGGACGAACUCUAACGGGGGUGUCCCCAUUUCAGAAUUUAAUAGAUUUCUUAAUAUUUAUAAAUUCUCAUGGAUUGUGUGAAAUUUGAUAGAAUUUAAUAGAUUUCAUAAGAUUUGAAUGGAUUUCUAUUUUGUAGAUUUUAAAAUAUUUUCAUGGAUUUUAUAGAUUCUGGGUAAAUUUUAUAAAUAUGCUUAACAUAAGCCACAAAUUUAUACUUCUUCUUUAACGACUCAUUCUUACACAUAUGCACAUUAAUAAAUCACAGAAAAUGAUCGAAUCCUUGUUCAAUUGUUUGUUAAACAUUGAAUAUUAUAACAGAACUUCAAUAAAAAAUACACCUAAUAUUCAACAAAAUGUGAGAGUGGGAGAGGACAAAAAUAUGUAGUGUUAAAUAAUCAAAGUCGUAAUCAAUAUAAAUUAGUUCAAAAGGCCACAACCUUGUGAGAUACAAACACACAGAUGUACACAUACAUGACCACAAGGCAAUUAAUUUCAUACCCCCAGAAUUCUCAUUGACCAUGCAGACACAAAAAAAAAUUGUGGGAUACUAUUCUCACAAGUCUUGGCUAGGAUUUGCAGGUAUAUAUAGAAAACACACAGCUCUUCCCCAAAAAAAUGAAUAGGGUACAAAACUUGAAAGACGAAAUUGUUCCAAUAUGCAUACUUGAAAUCGUAAAUUACCAUGAUAAUUUCCAACACAUUUAUAAAAUAGUAAACAAUAUAUAGCUUCAAUAAGAAAAAAUGAGUUCAAUAAAAAAUCACACUCAAUAUUCAACAAAAAAUAGUAAUCUUUCAUAAAUUAUCAUCAAUUAAAAAGUUCUCAUACACGAUCUUUUCACAAUAGAGAAAUGUGAGAUAGAAAGAAGAAGAAAUUUUUUUUCAAGAUGGGGGGGGGUGGGGGAGAGAGAGAGAGAGGGCAGCAAAUAUGGAGAGAGUGAGAAAUGUUGUGAAAUUUUUAGGUUUGGGUUAAAAUUGUCACUGAUUCUUUGUACUUAUAUUUUUACCUUGAAAUCCUUCAAAAUCUAUUAAAAUCUAUCUACUUAAUGAAAUAUUUUAAAAUCAACAGUUAUUAAGGAUAUCUAAAUUUCAAAACUACCUAUUAAAAUCUAUGUUGAGGACACCUAAAUUUAUAAGUAUUUUUAAAAAUCUAGAUUGGGAACACCUAUAUUUUAAUGAAUUAUAUUUAAAUCUGAAUUGAGGAUACUUCAAUUUAUAUGGAGUUUUAAAAUCCAUCAAACUCUAGAUUGAAGACACCCCCCUAAGUCAGUUUCUGUUAUGAUAGAAAAAGAUAUACAAAAGUAUUUGCCCAAAACGAGUCUCUUUAGCCAUUGUUUGUCAUCCUUUAAUAAAUUAAAUUUUUUACUACAAUAAUAUUCUUUACCACAUAUUUACACAAUAAAAUAUUCUACAUACAAAUCAAUAAAAAAAUUUUAAAUUUUAACCACACAUUUUUCAAAAAAAUACUAUUCAAAACUCUAUAAUUUCUCUCAUAAUGAAAGACAGACAGGCUUUUAAUAUGAAAAUAUGUGAUUCCAAAAUUUUUUUGAAUUUUUUAUAUUAGAUGCUCACGAUUAAAAUUAGAAUCGAAAUAAUAUUUUUGGGAUUGUCAAACAAUCCCUACAACAACAACAAAAAAGUGAGACUUUUGUGAAACUAAGGAUGGAUUGGAAUAAAGAAUUUCAUGGUUGGACCACUGUUCCAAUUAGCUCUUAAAUUGUUCUAAAGGAUUUGUAUGGAAACAAAAUUACAUCUUAUCCAAAACUACAACUAGAGGUAGCAAAUGGACGGCGGGAUCGGAUAUUAUAAGCCUCUCCAAAAAUAUCCAAGUUGUCGUAAAAUAUAUUUCGACAGUAAAACUUUUUUUUCCGGUUAACUUUUGUUGAACUAAAGCUCCUGUUAAAUUUUGGAAUUGAGUCAAUCAAAUUCUGGUGGUUGGAUGCUUCAAAAUAUUUUGCCUUCACUCGAUUGAUACCAAUUGAUAUUCAUACAAGAAGUGAAACUUCGACCUAACGAAAGUUAUUGGGUCAUGGUUCGAAUCACGAUAGCGUCGUGUUAAGGAUACAGUGCGACUCUUAAACUAUCAAACCUAGGGAUCGAGUGUCGAAUGACAUAAAAUGUGGAGCUUUCCUUCAUUCAACACCAAUUGAUUUUCCGAUUUAUGGAAUCUUGACGUGUGUUUAUGGUGCAAAAUAAAAUUUGGCAAAAUAUAAAUAGCAAUUCGAAAAGGUUCAUUAAAUGUAUAGGCUAAUGUGACAUGACAAAAGGAUGUAUAUGGAACAAAGGAACGUGCAUGAUCAUAAAGGAUUGAGAAGGACCAUAAACAGCUUUUAAAUAUAUUCUUCAACUUGAAAGAGACUUAACUCUUUUUGAGUGUCUUUCCUAUCUCCAAUUCUUCAAUUGUCGGCAGUAUUAAAUCCCUCUUCAUUUCUUUCUUAACUCAUCUAUUAAUUCCCUUGUAUUUUGGCCUCGAACGUAUUUUAGCUAAGCAGAACUAGAAACGAGUAAUUCAUAUUGAACAUAGUAUUGGAUAUGAUCACACAAUAUUGAACAUAUAUGUCUAGAUAUGGCCGAACAAUAUUGUUAUAGUUGAUAUGCUCAUAAGCAGUACUCGAUAUGACCGUAUGGUGAACUCGGCAAGAUUUUUUGUUCUUUUUUCUUUUUGAAUAUUAUGAAAUACUAUCUAAUGUGCUCUAUCAAACAAGUGUGCACAACUCAAUUUGAACUAUGAAAACCCGGUAAAAACAAAACCAAAUUGCAAACGUUCAGUCUAAGUAGAAAAUUUUACUGCUUAGACAUGAUGGAGGUUGGCAAAAUACUUUAUAUGUAGAUUAAUAAUCAAAUAAAGUCAAGGUUGGAUUUGAUAACUAUGAUUUAGAUUGUUUUCUAGUGAAUAAAAUGGUAUCUCGGGUAUUUUAGUAAGAACGGGUAGACUUCAUGUGCAUUUAGAGAUGAGGAUUUGACUCACAAGCAACUUCAAUUUUGUAGGGAUUCUAGCCUUAUUUUCAGAAUCGCCUCGGGAUCUUUAUAUAUCCCCUGUUGAUUUUGCUCAAAUUAGUUUUAGUAGAUUUUAAUAAAGUCAACAAAAUGUGGAAUUGAAAGAUUAAUAAAAAUUAUAGUCCUUAUAAGCUCUUGAAACCACUUUGUUGAAAGCGGAACGCUUUGAUACCAAUUUGUUGAAAAUCCGGCCAAAUAAUUAAACAACGAGAAAAAAUGGGCAAUAUAAGAAUAAUGAAUCAUGCACGAAACAAGAUUUUUGUGGAAGAAUGGGAGAAUUUAUUAUACCAAGAAACUAAAAUUGUUUCUACAAGAUUUAAUUCUCUCAAUCUAAAUCUAAACAAUUUUCUCAAUCUAAAUCUAAACAAUUCUCUCAAGUUUCUAAUUUAUACAACAAUGAUAUAAUUGUUAUGUUGAGUCUAUCUGGAUGACCCUCAAAGUCAAUCAAAUAAAUAUGUGUAAUGCCUCACAUAUUUAUAAUACAAGAGUCCAUAAUCUCAAAGUUUUUAUUCAAAUCAAACUCUCAAUGCAUGAUGAAAUUUGAUCCCUUAUCUAACUGGACUUUUAAACCCAAAUUAUUUAGAAUUCCUCCUUGAACUACAAUUCCAAAUCACAUGGAAUUUGAGUCACAAUCUAACAAUAGAUCACAUGAAUUACAUAGUUAAAAUUAAUCGAGAGAAAUAGAAAUAGAGAAAAAUUACAAAAUUUAAAGAAAUAAAAGAAUUAUGUGAAUAACUUCUCAAAACAGGAGAGAAACCAAGGACUUUUAAAGACGGAUAUGCAUCUAUUAUGUGAAAUUUUGCUAUAGUUAAACAAUCUCUCUCACAUUCUGAAUUUGUAGCUCUUUUCUUUUCCUUGUUCCAUAUAUUAAGGUUGAACCCCAACCUUGAAGGCCCCCACCGCCCCGUCUCUAGAGCUUUAUGAGGGAGGUAAAUCGCGGGAUGUGCCCUAACAGGUUAGGGAACAAGAACUGCCUGUACACUGCGGCUACAAAGAGUCCAAUUCCAUGUUUCAGGAAUCGAACCGCCACACUGCGGUUGUCAACAAGGCAUAAGAUAACCUCACUUCUGUCCUUUGCACCACUAGGCUAUGCCUCGGAGGGCAUCCUUGUUCCAUAUAUUGUUCUAUGUGAGACUACACAAGCAGUUCCAAAAAUCAUCCAUUUAUGAGGAGGGAAGUUCAAAUAAAUUUGUAGUUUUGUACUCUUUUUUCACAACAUGUUCAAAGAUAACGAUUUAAAAUAGAAAUACUUCUCAAGGAACCUUUAUUUUAAUUUAAGUUACAAUUCACAAAAGAAUUUGAGCCUUUUCACUACUACUUGAUAGGACGAGCAUGCCAUAAUAAUAAAAAUUGAAUUACGAUCCUAUUAGUGAAGCAAAAUCAACAAAAAUAACGGAUUAACUUUCACUCUGAGGUCCCUCAACAUGUCAUUGACCAAAACAUGUUGUCAUUCUCCUCGUACAUUGUUUGCUUGCGACGAGCUAACUGGUUUCUGUGCGGACUGGUUGAGGUGUUGUUGAUAGAGAGCUUCCAUUUUCUUGUAGAAAUCCAUGUUCAUUGAUUGCUAGAACAAGAGUAAGAAUCAAUAAUCAACGAAUAGGCAUUCAAAAAGUUCUAUAAAAAUAAUAGACAAUUUACUCACUUACUUGAGCUAGAAAUGUGUAAUAUGCAUCGUUAAAAGGAAGCGAUGUGUUGGAGGGAGUCGGAGGGGAGAUCGUCUGAGGCAUAGAGAAGGGAGGUGGUGGCACAAAUGGUGGAGCAGCUACGGAAAGUGGAGGUGAAUGGAUAUAGGAAGGAAACAAUUGAGGCAUAGUUCGAGCUACAUUAUUCAUCCCGAGCAUUCCCAUUCCCAUUCCCAUACGUGCCAAGAGAGACAUUUGUAGUUGUUGCUGGAUUCCUAAAGGCAUCAUCAUUUGUGGAAUAUUGGUUCUUGCACUCAUCAUUUGAACUUGUGCUUGAAGUUGUUUUAAGUAUGCAAUCACCUCGUCAAGCAUUGAUGCUUUAUCAGUCUGCAUAUAUAAUGAGACGCGUGCGUAAAUACAUUAAUCAAGAUGCACGUAGGGGAAAAUCCAUGGUCAUUAUAAAUUUAUUCUUUUCACCAAAAGUCUGACACGUGAAACUUUGUUACUUACCUUACUUGCAUUGGGCACCAAUUUUUGAAGAGCCUUCAUCUUCUGAUUGAUCCUAUCUCUACGUCUCUACACGAAUACAUCAUAUUUGUAUCAGUGGUUUUAAAGAAAAUUUCUUUAAUAUUAAUCUUUUCGUGACAAUGUUAGCCCUGCGACACUUUUGUGAAGCGAAACCUUUGUGAACAUGUUUGGUACAUGGUAUUGUAUAGUUGAGAUCAUACCCGUUCUGACUGAUUAUGUGUGGCAGCAGCUCGACUAUGUCUUCCUGAUGAUGGCGACUGAGUAGCGUCCCAGUUGUUCUCACGUUCUUCAUCCUGUUUUUCCUGCCAAAAUUUACGACAAUUAAAGCAGGCUGAGAGAAUAACUCGACAAAAGAAUUAAGAGCUCUUAUUGUCCUUUUCCAUUGUUUAGAUUACUAUAUUUUUUUCGCAUUAUUUCUUUGUUUAGAUUUGACUUACGGGCGCAAUAUGUAAAAGCCGAAAGACUUGUAAUUGUGAAGAGAUUAGAAUAUCUUGUCAAGGAAGACAAUAGCUCAUUAUAAUCGUGGUCAUGUGAGUGAAAGCUGUGAGACUAGUUCUUAAAGAGAUUCCCCAAGUCUAUUUCUAUGCCUAAUGAUGAAAGUGGAGUUCGAGUGGCUAAAGUGAAGAUUCGGAGAGCCCAGAAAAUUCCGGCAUAUUUUAUAAGUAGGAUUGGACCAGACUAGGUAUAAGAAAAGAAAGCUACAAUUUUGUCAUUUGUGUUGUUUAGUCAUGUUCAACAUUGUGUAACCAAAACACGCUUCAAGAUUAGUAUAUGUUCAUCCUACAAAAUCGAGAAUUUUCUAACCGAGCAAGCUGGAAAAGCCGAAUCUUCAUCUCUGUUUCUCGUACUCUUGAAGCUUUGAGGGGGUUCAAAGGAAGCCCAAGUCAUCAUAGUUGUAUCAGUAUCCAUACAAAAGGUUGCACUUGCACUAGCACAUCCACUGGCUUCUCCCCCUUGAUCUUCCUCAAAAUAUCUUCCACAAUUUUGUUCUGACUCUGAUCUUGUCCUUUUCUUAGUUAAACCUGCCGGGCCGACAUGGCAACUCGAAGAUGCAGCCAUAUGGCCUGAGCUUUUGCUCCAUCUUCCACCAGAAGAUGCAGCCAUCGAACUUAAAUUUGCCUCCUUUUGUUUCAACUGCGUGUCAAUUGAUGAACUCUUGGGCCAUUUUCCACCCCAAGGUGCAUCCAAUGAGCUAAAAGUUGCCUCUUUUUUAUUAGACCUAUCACGAGUGGCUUGAUCGACUAGGCAUUCUAACGUAUCAGCACUGGUACUAGCCCGAAUAGGAGAUGGAACCAUGCUACCAAGAUCAUGCAUAGCUAACUGUCCAUUUUCCCAUGUCAAUUCUGCUACUUCAUUACUAGACCUGAACUCCAACGUACCACAAAAAUUAGUUUUUUGUUUACUCCCAGAUUAUGGGAUGACGGAUAAAGCAUACUAUGAAACAUAUAAUUGAUAAGAAACAUAGGAUUCAUGGAGAAUUACAGGAUAAGUACAGUGCAUACAUAGGGACGUGAUCACGUGAUGUCUUCCCUUCUUCGUCUACUUGUUCUUGUCUUUGGUGCCUUCGAUUCCAUUUAGGUACUACACAAUGAUUCAUAGUGUCUCAGAGACUCUUUCUUCUCUCUCUACAAAUGAACAUGGACAGAGGAAGAUUUAUAUUCUGUUCACAGUAUAUUUCUGGUCCCCUUUGAAUGUCACUUUCAAUUGAUGGAGAGUUUCAUGACAAAACAAGUGGCGGCAAGGGAGAGAGUAUAGUGUUAAUUUAGCAUUAAUGUUGUGAACAGGCCCACUUACAAGGGUUUAAUAGGGGCCAAGAUGGAUUCACCUCAACCCUUGAUUUGAAUUGGGCUUCUUUGAGUAGCAAAGCUCUUAAUUUAGAAUCCUUUUUCAGGGAAAUUUUUAUCAUGGUCGUUGGACUUUCAGCGAAAUUUUAAUUGGAUUACGCUAAUUCAUUUUGUCUUAAUUGAGUCACUAGAUAAAUUCGGUUGCUUUUUUUUUUUUUUUUUAUCAUAAUUAAGCAAUUUCUAUAAAUAUGUAUACGACAGGUAAUAGUUUUGAAAUUUGACUUGAAGUUGAAGUUCAAUGACUUAACUGAAACUAAAUUGAAGUUGAGUGGUCUGAUUGAGACAAAUUAAAAUCUAAUAACACAAUUGAGAUUUCGUUGAAAGUUCAAUGACCACUUUCUCACAUCAUCUUAUAUUCUAAAAUUUUAAAAAGAGAAAUUAACUUUUAAACUUAGGGCCUGUUUGGGAGGGAUUUUUUAACCCAAAAAAUUGAUUUUUUGAUCAUUAUUUCACUAUUUCGAUCGUAAUUUUUGACUUUUUCUCUCACAUAUAGACCCUACUUUUCUUCUAACGGUCAAAAAAUCAAUUCUCAAAAUCCCUCACAAACGGGGCCUUAGUGAAAAAUGAAAUUUUGAGAAUGCAAUUUCAUUUUGGUAUUACUUUUGUGUUGCUUGUAGUAUUGGGAAAUGUUUAUUAUUCGCUCAGUUAUUGUUGUUACUUAUAUAACAUGAUAUCAUUGCAGGUAAAAAAUAAAUUUCAUUUAUUGAGUGGUCUUUAAACCCCCCCCCCCAUCUCUUUUGUGUGUCUCGUGGUUGACUCUAAACUUGAGAUUACUGGUAGAUUUGGGAGUAAAACUUUCUUUAUUGAGAAGCCGGUUGUCAUAGUUUGGACGUGGUUCAAUCUCUAAUAGCUCUUUUGACUCUAUAUGUGGGCACCUGAUAUCUAUGAGGGUUCGCCCAAGUUUUACACCCAAAUCUCGUUCUCAUCCAUUUAUUAAAGUCGAUCGUGUUUGGGUGUUAAUAUAAAUGUGAUGAGAAAAAAGAAACUUUUAGAAGGUGAUUCAACUAAAUUUUAGAAAAAUUAAACGAAAAGUGAAAUAGUAAAAAAUGAAAAUAUAUAUAUAUAAAAGACUAAUUUGGUGGCAGAAUAUUUAGCAGCCCCACACGAGAAUGGAAGCUAGGGGCCUCCUACCUAACAAGUGGGAAAUGACUGGUUCAUAGGCAAAGGAUAGGAAGGACAAUAAAUGAAGCCAGAUAUGACUACUAGAUCACACGUAUUCACGUAUAUCUUGUGAGGACCAAAAAUUGAUCCUCAUUCAUCGUUGAAACACCAAUGAAAAUUCAUAUCUUCAUCAAAUAUUCAAACUCCCAACCAAAUUUUCGAGACAAUAUUGUUGUGGAUUAGACGCUGAAUCCUAUAUCAUAGAGAGCAAUAGUAAUAUGAAACAUAAAGACGAAAGCAAGUAGAAAACUCUUUGGUGAUAGACAGUAGGGGGGGAAAAAUGAAAAUAAAUAAAUAAGGUUGAGAUAUUGGAGUAGGAUCUCUUCUUGCUAACAUUGCACCAACAUUUUCAAACGUGUCCUCAUUAAGAAGACGAGAAACUUGGGUGUCCAACCGCCAACCCCGAGGCACCACCUAUGUGGAUGGCCCACACACCUCCGGGGUGUGUGGUAGCCCACCCGCCGAGGUGGUUCACAUUGAUAUGUGGUGGUGACCUAAGUUUUUUCCCAUUAAGACGGUAGGCUAUGGAUAAAGACGAUUAGAGAAAUAAGAAGCCAAUUUAGGAAGUAAUUUUUUUGUUGAGGCAAAGUUGUUUGGACAUGUAAAUGGUGACUAGGAUGCGUGAGUGGCCGAUUGAUAUUGUGUGGUGCCAAUAAUUCUAUCCUUAGGUCAAUUGAAAUCGCCCAGUGGUGCAGCUGACAUCCUUUAAGAUUGCUAGUCCUUGGCUAUGGAUUUACCCAUCCGGCGGGUUGGUUGACUUGACCAGGCUUCUUUUCAGUCUUGGUUAAGGCCACCGCUGGCUUUUGGGCACGGGCUAUUGAGGCCUCUUCAGCCUUCCAAAACUUUUGCGCUUUAGACUAUAAAAUGCUUGUACACAAUGCUAGUGUCAUUUACAAUGUCGUACACUCUCCACCCAAAAUACGAAAAAGAGAUUCACUCUUUAUAUACGAAGGAAAAAUUAAACCUGCACCAAAUAUUAGGUCGAUCUAUGAUCAAGGAAAAAAGUGUACACUGAUACUAGGCACAAAUAAUAACAAAUACAAAUCUUAAUUGAGUCACUGAAAGGAGAAAGACCGCUAAUAAAAAAAAGAAAAAAAAAGAAAAAAAAAAAGAAAAAGGAGGGACACAAAAUCACAAAUCAUUUAUCAAUAUAUGUGAAAAAUCAUUAAGUACUUGGAAAAAGCAAAGCCAUUGAUGGAUGUUUGUCACUAAAAAUCGCAAAGAUAAGUAUUAAUAAUAGAUAUGAGUUCAAUGUCAAUUUCACGAAGAUUGCGUAUUUAUAAUUGAAAUAACUUAUUCUUAAUUAUAACUAAAGGAAAUUUCAUGCUGAAAUUUGUUUGAUUAGGUUUUACUAAAAUUACUAUGACAAAUCAUUUAAAUGGCUUUCGAUAAUUCUAGGGAAAAAUAAAGUUUGGAAGGCAUUAGGACUACGGCUCCACUUACAUUUUUUCGCUUCAAUCCUCAUUUCACAUAAUUGAUAGUACAUAGUUUAUAUUGGAAUUCAAUCUAUUUCUUCUAAUGAUCUCUCUCGAGUAGAAUUAGUGCUAUACUAGUUUGUAAACCUGCAGCAAAAAAAAAAAAAAAAAAAAAAAAAAAAAAAACAAUGAACAUUGUCAAUUACAUAGACUAUAGUUGUAAAUCUCUAUCUCCCAUCGAAAAAUGAAAUAGUUAUUAUUAUGUGCUAAAUCUUUUUCGAUCUUUCGAAAGCAAUAUAAAACACCGAACCAAGAGAAUCUAGAGCAAGGGAAGACCUAUAAAGGGAUGAGUGGGUGUCGUUGCCCCCACUGGAUUUUCAAAUGCGGGGUUUUUAAAUUCAAGUUUUUUUUUUUCCCAAUUUAUUCAAAAUAAUAUUUUUACAUAAUUGUGUAUCACUCCAUUGAACCAUAAUCUUGGGUUUGCCUCUGAUCUAGAAUAUAAGAAGUAGGACGCUAACCACAAAAAAUGACAUUCUUAUUAUUAGCUUUAUGUCUCAAGUCAUACCAUAUAAGGAAUUAACCGUCAUAGUCCAACAUGAUUUUAUUACCACUUUUUAUCGGGCACGAAGCUGCGUAAGACUUAUGAAUUGGUGGAACAAAAGGACAGCAAAUUCGUCCAAGACUUCUUAUUGCAUAUCUUUUCGUCACUCGUAUCUUAUUUAUAUUCAUCUUUCGAGGUACGAGAGCAGUCAAACACCUUCCUAUUGCCUUGACUGAAGAUCAUUUUUGCCAAGCAACACUCACAUGAAUUUGAUUCAAAUUAUACACACUUUUUCGACUAAAACAAGUACCACCUAUCAAACUUGCUAAUAUCAACCGUCCUAACAAUCUUGGGGUUGUGGAUCACUUAACUGUAAGCGGAGUUGCAUUCAGGUCACUCAUAUUCAAUUUGGUGCAAUUAGAUCACUUAAAUUCAAUUUGUUUGCAAAUCUAAUCAUCAUCUUCAAUUUGAUACAAAUCGAGUUACCAAAUAUCGACUUGCUUACAAAUUUGGUCAUUAUGUCCUCUACUCGUCAACUUAACUUAUGUAACAUAUUGAAAUGGACAGUGAAAUUGAUGGAUGCUGAUGUUCACCUCACACAACAGUAGAAAUCAACCAUCUAUAAAAUAUACUUUUUAAUUAAAAGUGUAUGAGCUAAAAGCACGUUUUUACACGUCAUUCAUCAAUUAGUUUAGUAUCCAGAUCAACAUAUUGUGCUAGUUAAACUGACUACAAUGAACAAAAUGACUAGAUUUGUAAGAAAGAAAAAAAAUCAAAGUUGAAUGACCAGAUUAUAUCAAACUAAAUAUGUGUGACCAGAUUUGCAAGAAAAUGAAAGUUUGGUGACCUUAAUGAAUCAAAUUAAAGAUGAGCGAUCCUGUUGUAACUCUUCUUAAAAUUGAGUGACCUACAAUGCAUUUAAUCCUCCUAGAAUCAUACCCAAAACCAUCCUCAUCGCGCUUGUUAACCUAUGUUCCUUUCAAGUAUUCUACAUAGUGAAAAUGACAACACAUUGCAUAAGCUUGCAAUGACGUAAUUGUCAAAUGGAAAUGAUCUAAUGCUACUCGAUCAAGUGAAUUUAAACUUAAGCUUGGAUGUGUAUAAUGUAAAUUUUUGAGAAUAAAUUUUCUGAAAUGUCAUUUAUUAUUAUUAUUAUUGUUUUUUUUUUGUGGAAAAAAUGAGCGAUUAAAAAGUAUGGAACAGUAUGCGUCAACGUUCAAAAUUAUUUUAUUGAGAGAAUGUGUGAUUGAAAUGACUUUUAAAGAAUUUCUACCAAAUUGGACUUUUUGAAAAUUGAUAUUUUUUGUUAUACAUGUGUAGUUUAAAAGUAGAAUUAAAAAAGUUUACGUACAAAAUUAUUUUAUUGAAAUGGUCCAGUGAUAUAACCUAUGCUACUCAUAUGGUAUUUAACCUUUAGUAGAACUAAGCAUUCUUUUCUUUUUCUUUCUUUCUUUCUUUCUUUCUUUCUUUCUUUAUUCUCAAUUCUUUUUUAAUUUAGUAUUCAGUCUUUCAUUUUAAGGUUAUUAUUACUCCACAUAAUAAUAAAGAAGAAAAGAGUAAGCAUUUAAUCAAACAACUGUGAAACAAGUUAGAAACAUUAAGCAAAACGGCGUUAACAUAAAAUUGAGAUGACUAAGCCAUGACUUCCUCUUAUUCGGGAGUUCCUAACCUACGCAAUCGGCCUAAAUUUAUUUAAGUUCAAUACGACCCAAUUUUCUGGGCCAGGCCCAUGUAGGACCCCCAACACAUAUUUUUUUAGUGGAAAUUACACAAUUCCAUAGGUUUUAAAUUCCAACUUCACGAAUCAGAUCCAAUAUUUGGUUAUUCAAAAAUUAGAUGUUAUAUAUAUAAUAUUUAUUUUUAAUAAAUAUAACCCACAAUUCAACUCCAAACCCUAACCUCUCUUAUCUCUCUAAACCCGUUCAAAAUUCGACGAUGAAAAAGUUGCUCCGACUGACGCUGUUGGAAUUGAAGAUGAUGGCAGUGCUAGCAGUUGCAGCGACCUGCAGUAGCAGCAUUGAUUUGUGGCGAUCAUGGAUUUUGUGUGGUGUGGUGACGAUGUUUGUGCGGUGGCGGUGGAGGCUGUGGUGAUUCAGAGGGGUGGAUGUGGUUUGUUUGAAGUGUUGCAAUGGGUUGUUUGAGGUGUUGCGAUGGUGUCUGAUUUGGCAAUCGGGGUAGAUGUGGUAGUGUGUGAGCUUCGCCGAAGUCUGGCAGAUUGUGAUGGUGUAGCUGUAGCGACGGCGAUCGUGGUGUUGAUUUUUUUUUUUUUUUUUGCCUUUUAUGGUUGACAGCGCAAAUCGUGGCGGUGAUGGCGCAGAUCAUGGCUAUGGCGGUGUAGAUUGUGGUGUUGAUUUUUUUUCUUGGUUGUUGGAUGUGGUGCAAGCAGUGGCGGCAGCGUUGACAUCGCCCAGGUGGAUCAAUAGUGUCUGUGACCAGUAAAUUGUUUGAUUCGAUUGUGAUGGUGAAUGCGGUGGUUGUGGAAAUGGGUGACGUUGACGGUGUUGGCUGUGGCGUUGCGGUGGCAAUUUAAGGAAAUGGGUGGAUGCGGUUUGGGGCAAGUUUUGCUGGCUGCGGUGGCAACGAUGGUGGUGAAAAUUGUGACUGUGCAUGUGACUCUCUAUUAUGACUUGAAAAUUGUGAUUGUGACUCCCAAUUGUGAUUCACAAUUAAUAAAGUUGUGACCGAAAAAUUAAUCAUGAACAAUUAAUUCAAUAACUUGCAAUGAGUAAUAAUUGUGACUAAUAAAAGUUUUGAAUAUGUGAUCGAUGAAUAAGUAUUUUAUUUGAAGAAUUGAACAAAACUAAAAUUUCUGUAGAUUCUUAAAACGUCGUGACCUGUAAAAUUUUUGGAUUCGUGACCUAAAAAUAUUCUGUGACCUAUAAAUUUUUCGACCUGUGAUCGAGAAAUAAGUUACGACCAAUAAUUUGAUAAGUUGUGACUAAAAAUUAAUCUGUGAUUAAUUAAUUAGAUAACUGUGAUCUGAAUAUAUUUAAUAAAAUAUAUGUUUAAUAAAUUAAUUUAUAAAUAAAAAUUAAAAAUCUGAUUUUUGAAACUUUAAACAUUUGUUCUUAAUUUUGAAAAAAGGUAUAUUUACCUUCUUAGAAAUGAAUUUUUCCCAUUUUUUAUUAGAAAUUUGCUAUUUGUACAUGGACAUGUACACUUCCCUCACAUGGACGGACCAUGCCCAAUAAAAAAAGCGCGAGCCCCCUCUUGUAGGGACAUUGUCAACGUCCGUGUACACAUAGCACGACUCUUUUUUUUAAUAGUUUUACAAGAAUGUUUGAGAGUACUUUUCCAAACUUAUAGUUGAUCAAACAUCAAUUUUAUUUGAACAUUCUAUAGGAUUUACAACUUUUACUUGCUUUUUAUCUACAUAAUUCAUAGAACCACUACUUAUAAAUGCUUAUAAGUAUUACCAAACUAGCACUACAUAGUUUAUUAUUAUUAUUAUUAUUUUUGGAGGGGGAAUUUAAAAAAUUAGGUACCACUAAUUUUUUAUUUAAAAUAUGUAUAUCCACCUAUACCCCCACUCCUCCGUACCCCACCAGCAACCCUUCAAAAACAUACACCCACCCAUUCCAUCUUGCCCCUUCAAAAAGAAAAUGGAAAAAAAUAAUUUUGACAUUCGUCGAAGCUCCUCCACCACGCUCCAAAGUUUGUUCGUGAUUUCUCUCCCAUUACACAUCAUUCAUUUUUCCUUCUAGUGCAGAUAGUAAAUAGUACGAGGGUUUAGGACUAUGAAUGGCACAAAAUAAAAAUUAGGCACCGUUUGAUAGCUCUCAUUUUCCAUGGAACUUGGAAAAUAAAUUCCAUUUUCCAUCCUUAAGUGUGUUGGAUGGCAAAAAAAUUGGCAUGGAAUUCAUUUUCCACUUCUUGCCUCACGUGAUGGCUUUUCUAGGUUUUUAGUGAAUUACAAUUCCCACCAAAUGGUGGGAAUUGCUUUUCUAACUUUUUUUUUUCAAUGAAAACAAAUUCUAGAAAUAAUUGAAAAAGAGAAUAUCUUUUAAAUUGACAAUUUUAAUGGAAAACAAAGUCAAACGAAUACUAAAAUAUAAAUGAUUUUUGGUUUUGCUGGAUUUUUUUUUUUUUUUUUUUUUGUAAUGGAAACAAAUUCUAUAAAUAAUUGUAAAAGAAUAUAUCCCUUAAAUUGACAAUUUUCAUGAAAAACAAAAUCAAACGAAUACCAAGAAACACUUUAAUUUCAAUAUUUUCUAGGUGAAAAAUUAUACCAAUCAAACACUAUUAAUUGACAAUUCUCAUGAAAACAAUUUUUAGGCAAUUCAAUUCCCUGGAAUUCGUUUUCUUUCUACUCAAAUUUCAUCUUUACAAUCAAAGAAAGAUUUGGGACCAUGACUACAAUUCUCCCUGUGAAAAUUGAGUAAGUUGUGUCAUUCAAUGUAGGCAUCGCUUUAGUUUUUGGUGAUGUUGAGUAACUCGGUGAAUUUGGAAACAUGAGUACUAGUAGCGUGAUCAGUUUUUAACAUAUAAAAGUUUGGUGACUAAAGGUAAAACAAAUAUAGAAGUUGGGUGACCAUUCAUGAACUAUUUCCAUUUUUAGAUCGUAUAUGUCGGACAACGAAACGACGUCGUAUGAACGGGCGACGCCAUUUCCUUUGGCAUCUAUGAUCUACCUCGUCAGUACUGAACAAUUUGAAAACCCUAAAUAAGCUUGCUUUUCUGGCUCUGUGAAGAAGAAAAAUUACAAAAUCAGCAGAGAUCAAUCGGAUCAAAUCGAACUGUGAGUACAAGAAUGGCUAUGGCUGCUUUGAGACGCGAAGGAAGGCGUUUCGCCGCCCCUCUCAUCUCCAACAACCCUAUCAACCCCUUCCGUUCCUCUUUCGCCCCUGCUGAGUACGAUUCGAUCUCUCUUUUCUAGUUAUCUGUAUUUAUGUUUCGAUUCCAUGCUUCAUUUCGUAUGGAAAAUGUCUUAUAUGUGUGCGUUUGAUGGGAAAUUGAUGAUUCCUAAGCAUAGCACGCCAUUUUCAGUGUAAAAUGUACAUCAUGUCAUUGCUGAGACUUUCAGAUUAUAGAUACAGUGUCUAUAUUCUCUACCCAACAUUCAAUGGCCAGUUAGUAUAAAUUUUUUGAUAGUGUCACGGGCUAUAAUUGAGACAUUAGCCUCUUAUGUGAAUGUAAAAUAUAUAGAUUGAAAUUAGGACUACUGGGAACCUGAUAGCUCUUACAGUCUGCAAAGGACAAUGAUUCUUUUGAGCUAUUGUCAUCUUGCUCACUCUAUGCAUUAUAUUUUCUUGGUUAAUUGAAUGGACAUCUCCAUUUUGCUUUUAAAUUUACAAGAGGUUAUCUGAGUAUUUAGUUCAGAGAUCUUCAAUUUUCAUAAUAUUUGUGGUUGCGUUGGACAAGAAGAAAUGUAGUUUACCUGGUGAUGUCAUUUAUUUGACUAAUUUUUUGGUAAAAUAUCUCCCAUGCACCAAAUAUAAUGGUUUGCACUAUUAUUUUAGCUCAGAAAAGAUGUUCAACUUGUGGGGAUAUGGUUUGGUUGGCUUGUUAGAUGUAUUAUCCAUACUUCAAGGUGUGGUUGUUCACUUUUUAAUUCUGGAUUCGACUUUUUCUUCGAUGGCUCUGUCUUGAUCUUGUUUAUUCAAGUAAAAUGAUCUCAAAAAAGAUUGGCUCUAGUUCUUUUCAACGACGACAUGGAAACACCAAAAAGAUUUAGAAUGUUAUAUGCUUAUGAAUGGUUACCCAUUUGAUUACUUCGAUUAGACAAAAACAUCACAUAAAUCGUUUACAAAAACCUUCUAAGGCUUACGCCUCAAUUCCUGCUUCACAUGAGGCUUUUAUUAAACGCCUCAAAACGUAUGCCUUAGAUGCCAUUUGUGAGGUUUAAGCCUCGACUUAGUGAGGCUUACACCUCAAAACUAAGUCUCAUGGGGACUAUUGUGUACACUCAUUUGCCUUGCCUUUUUUGCUACAGUUAAUGGCCAUUUUAUAACCUAGAAUGUUCUACAAUUUUUUUUUUUUUUAAUUUCUAUUUUUUGCUUUACACAAAAGAAGAAGGAGAAGACGUCAUUGCAUAUGGAGAAUGAUUAUAAAGAAUGAGAAGAAACUUAUAGUAAUGAUGACGACGGGAAUGGAAUAUUUUGGAUGUUUUAAAAACCACUCAAAAUCGUUGUGGUGUAAUUUUGACCCUUUCUCCCAACCCAUCAAAUCAACGGUUUUUACCAUUUCUCAUAUUAUUUUCUGAUUUUACAAUUAAUAUUUAUUUUUAAUAAAUAUAACCCACAAUUCAACUCCAAACCCUAACCUCUCUUAUCUCUCUAAACCCGUUCAAAAUUCGGCGAUGAAAAAGUUGCUCCGACUGACGUUGUUGGAAUUGAAGAUGAUGGCAGUGCUAGCAGUUGCAGCAUUGAUUUGUGGCGAUCGUGGAUUUUGUGUGGUGUGGCGACGAUGUUUGUGCGGUGGCGGUGGAGUCUGUGGUGAUUCAGAGGGGUGGCUGUGAUUUGUUUGAAGUGUUGCAAUGGGUUGUUUGAGGUGUUGCGAUGGUGUCUGAUUUGGCGAUUGGGGUAGAUGUGGUAGUGUGUGAGCUUCGCCGAAGUCUUGCAGAUUGUGAUGGCGUAGCUGUAGCGACGGCGAUCGUGGUGUUGAUAUUUUUUUUUCCUUUUAUGGUUGACAGCGCAAAUCGUGGCGGUGAUGGCGCAGAUCAUGGCUAUAGCGGUGUAGAUCAUGGUGUUGAUUUUUUUUCUUGGUUGUCGGAUGUGGUGCAAGCAGUGGCGAUAGCGUCGACAUUGCCCUGGUGGAUCAAUAGUGUCUGUGACCAGUAAAUUGAUUGAUUCGAUUGUGGUGGCAAAUGCGGUGGUUGUGGAAAUGGGUGACGUUGACGGUGUUGGCUGUGGCGUUGCGGUGGCGAUUUAAGGAAAUGGGUGGAUGCGGUUUGGGGCAGGUUUUGCUGGCUGCGGUGGCAGCGAUGGUGGUGAAAAUUGUGACUGUGCAUGUGACUCUCUAUUAUGACUUGAAAAUUGUGAUUGUGACUCUCAAUUGUGAUUCACAAUUAAUAAAGUUGUGACCGAAAAAUUAAUCAUAAACAAUUAAUUCAAUAACUUGCAAUGAGUAAUAAUUGUGACUAAUAAAAGUUUUGAAUAUGUGAUCGAUGAAUAAGUAUUUUAUUUGAAGAAUUGAACAAAGCUAAAAUUUCUGUAAAUUAUUAAAACGUCAUGACCUAUAAAAUUUUUGGAUUCGUGACCUAAAAAUAUUCUGUGACCUAUAAAUUUUUCGACCUGUGAUCGAGAAAUAAGUUACGACCAAUAAUUUGAUAAGUUGUGACUAAAAAUUAAUCUGUGAUUAAUUAAUUAGAUAACUAUGAUCUGAAUAUAUUUAAUAAAAUAUAUGUUUAAUAAAUUAAUUUAUAAAUAAAAAUUAAAAAUCCGAUUUUUGAAACUUUAAACAUUUGUUCUUAAUUUUGAAAAAAGGUAUAUUUACCUUCUUAGAAAUGAAUUUUUCCCAUUUUUUUAUUAGAAAUUUGCUAUUUGUACAUGGACAUGUACACUUCCCUCACAUGGACGGACCAUGCCCAAUAAAAAAAGCGCGAGCCCCCUCUCGUGGGGAUAGUGUCAACGUCCGUGUACACAUAGCACGACUCUUUUUUUUAAUAGUUUUACAAGAAUGUUUGAGAGUACUUUUUCAAACUUAUAGUUGAUCAAACAUCAAUUUUAUUUGAACAUUCUAUAGGAUUUACAACUUUUACCUGCUUUUUAUCUACAUAAUUCAUAGAACCACUACUUAUAAAUGCUUAUAAGUAUUACCAAACUAGCACUACAUAGUUUAUUAUUAUUAUUAUUAUUAUUAUUAUUAUUAUUAUUUUUGGAGGGGGAAUUUAAAAAAUUAGGUACCACUAAUUUUUUAUUUAAAAUAUGUAUAUCCACCUAUACCCCCACUCCUCCGUACCCCACCAGCAACCCUUCAAAAACAUACACCCACCCAUUCCAUCUUGCCCCUUCAAAAAGAAAAUGGAAAAAAAUAAUUUUGACAUUCGUCGAAGCUCCUCCACCACGCUCCAAAGUUUGUUCGUGAUUUCUCUCCCAUUACACAUCAUUCAUUUUUCCUUCUAGUGCAGAUAGUAAAUAGUACGAGGGUUUAGGACUAUGAAUGGCACAAAAUAAAAAUUAGGCACCGUUUGAUAGCUCUCAUUUUCCAUGGAACUUGGAAAAUAAAUUCCAUUUUCCAUCCUUAAGUGGUUGGAUGGCAAAAAAAUUGGCAUGGAAUUCAUUUUCCACUUCUUGCCUCACGUGAUGGCUUUUCUAGGUUUUUAGUGAAUUACAAUUCCCACCAAAUGGUGGGAAUUGCUUUUCUAACUUUUUUUUUUCAAUGAAAACAAAUUCUAGAAAUAAUUGAAAAAGAGAAUAUCUUUUAAAUUGACAAUUUUAAUGGAAAACAAAGUCAAACGAAUACUAAAAUAUAAAUGAUUUUUGGUUUUGCUGGAUUUUUUUUUUUUUUUUUUGUAAUGGAAACAAAUUCUAUAAAUAAUUGUAAAAGAAUAUAUCCCUUAAAUUGACAAUUUUCAUGAAAAACAAAAUCAAACGAAUACCAAGAGACACUUUAAUUUCAAUAUUUUCUAGGUGAAAAAUUAUACCAAUCAAACACUAUUAAUUGACAAUUCUCAUNNNNNNNNNNNNNNNNNNNNNNNNNNNNNNNNNNNNNNNNNNNNNNNNNNNNNNNNNNNNNNNNNNNNNNNNNNNNNNNNNNNNNNNNNNNNNNNNNNNNNNNNNNNNNNNNNNNNNNNNNNNNNNNNNNNNNNNNNNNNNNNNNNNNNNNNNNNNNNNNNNNNNNNNNNNNNNNNNNNNNNNNNNNNNNNNNNNNNNNNNNNNNNNNNNNNNNNNNNNNNNNNNNNNNNNNNNNNNNNNNNNNNNNNNNNNNNNNNNNNNNNNNNNNNNNNNNNNNNNNNNNNNNNNNNNNNNNNNNNNNNNNNNNNNNNNNNNNNNNNNNNNNNNNNNNNNNNNNNNNNNNNNNNNNNNNNNNNNNNNNNNNNNNNNNNNNNNNNNNNNNNNNNNNNNNNNNNNNNNNNNNNNNNNNNNNNNNNNNNNNNNNNNNNNNNNNNNNNNNNNNNNNNNNNNNNNNNNNNNNNNNNNNNNNNNNNNNNNNNNNNNNNNNNNNNNNNNNNNNNNNNNNNNNNNNNNNNNNNNNNNNNNNNNNNNNNNNNNNNNNNNNNNNNNNNNNNNNNNNNNNNNNNNNNNNNNNNNNNNNNNNNNNNNNNNNNNNNNNNNNNNNNNNNNNNNNNNNNNNNNNNNNNNNNNNNNNNNNNNNNNNNNNNNNNNNNNNNNNNNNNNNNNNNNNNNNNNNNNNNNNNNNNNNNNNNNNNNNNNNNNNNNNNNNNNNNNNNNNNNNNNNNNNNNNNNNNNNNNNNNNNNNNNNNNNNNNNNNNNNNNNNNNNNNNNNNNNNNNNNNNNNNNNNNNNNNNNNNNNNNNNNNNNNNNNNNNNNNNNNNNNNNNNNNNNNNNNNNNNNNNNNNNNNNNNNNNNNNNNNNNNNNNNNNNNNNNNNNNNNNNNNNNNNNNNNNNNNNNNNNNNNNNNNNNNNNNNNNNNNNNNNNNNNNNNNNNNNNNNNNNNNNNNNNNNNNNNNNNNNNNNNNNNNNNNNNNNNNNNNNNNNNNNNNNNNNNNNNNNNNNNNNNNNNNNNNNNNNNNNNNNNNNNNNNNNNNNNNNNNNNNNNNNNNNNNNNNNNNNNNNNNNNNNNNNNNNNNNNNNNNNNNNNNNNNNNNNNNNNNNNNNNNNNNNNNNNNNNNNNNNNNNNNNNNNNNNNNNNNNNNNNNNNNNNNNNNNNNNNNNNNNNNNNNNNNNNNNNNNNNNNNNNNNNNNNNNNNNNNNNNNNNNNNNNNNNNNNNNNNNNNNNNNNNNNNNNNNNNNNNNNNNNNNNNNNNNNNNNNNNNNNNNNNNNNNNNNNNNNNNNNNNNNNNNNNNNNNNNNNNNNNNNNNNNNNNNNNNNNNNNNNNNNNNNNNNNNNNNNNNNNNNNNNNNNNNNNNNNNNNNNNNNNNNNNNNNNNNNNNNNNNNNNNNNNNNNNNNNNNNNNNNNNNNNNNNNNNNNNNNNNNNNNNNNNNNNNNNNNNNNNNNNNNNNNNNNNNNNNNNNNNNNNNNNNNNNNNNNNNNNNNNNNNNNNNNNNNNNNNNNNNNNNNNNNNNNNNNNNNNNNNNNNNNNNNNNNNNNNNNNNNNNNNNNNNNNNNNNNNNNNNNNNNNNNNNNNNNNNNNNNNNNNNNNNNNNNNNNNNNNNNNNNNNNNNNNNNNNNNNNNNNNNNNNNNNNNNNNNNNNNNNNNNNNNNNNNNNNNNNNNNNNNNNNNNNNNNNNNNNNNNNNNNNNNNNNNNNNNNNNNNNNNNNNNNNNNNNNNNNNNNNNNNNNNNNNNNNNNNNNNNNNNNNNNNNNNNNNNNNNNNNNNNNNNNNNNNNNNNNNNNNNNNNNNNNNNNNNNNNNNNNNNNNNNNNNNNNNNNNNNNNNNNNNNNNNNNNNNNNNNNNNNNNNNNNNNNNNNNNNNNNNNNNNNNNNNNNNNNNNNNNUUUUUUUUUUUUUUAAUUUCUAUUUUUUGCUUUACACAAAAGAAGAAGGAGAAGACGUCAUUGCAUAUGGAGAAUGAUUAUAAAGAAUGAGAAGAAACUUAUAGUAAUGAUGACGACGACGGGAAUGGAAUAUUUUGGAUGUUUUAAAAACCACUCAAAAUCGUUGUGGUGUAAUUUUGACCCUUUCUCCCAACCCAUCAAAUCAACGGUUUUUACCAUUUCUCAUAUUAUUUUCUGAUUUUACAAUCAGCAUAUUUUAUUCAAAACUGGCUCGUAAAUAAAAAUGCAUUAAUUAAAAAAAUUAUUUAUAAGCAAAUUACGAUAUCAUUAAAAAUUACUUAUAAGUAAAAUAACUUUUGUAUAAUAAAUUGUUUUAAGGUAAAAACACUACUAAUAAGAUAAAAAUUAAUUAUAAGUAAAAAUUCACUUAUGUGUUAAAAUUGUUUAAAAGUAACUUAUAAGUAAAAUAUACUAACUUAAAAUUUUGAGUAAAAUAUUAACUUAUAUGUAAAAAAAUUACAUAUAAGUAAAAUAUCACUUAUAAGUAAAAUAAAUAUCAUAUAAGAAAGGAUAAAUUGGAAUUCACUAGGGGACAUAUGUGAAAGGGAUAUAUAUGUAAUUUUAUUUUUUUAAAAGACUUUUAGAUUCGGUAGAUAAUAAACUCCCAAGCAUGAGCUGGAUUGUUUUAAAAAUUGCUAUUCAAAUCACUCAAAAUCAAUUCGUUCAUAAACGUUCAAAAUUGGCACUUUAAAAAAAGUCCAUAAUCACUACCCUAAAACUCCCGAGCAAGCCCUUAAUAUCCUUGCAAUAGUGAUGGAGACUAGUAAUUUGAAAACUUAUUAUUUAUUAUUGAAUUAAUUUUUUAUGUUUAUCUGGAAGUUAAAAUUUAAUUUUUAUUCGUUUGUUUUAUCAUAGAUCUUUUUAGAAAUGGUUUAUUAUGUGCAUUUUUUUUUAUAUUCUUUUAAAUUAUUUUAUUAAUUAUUCUUGAAGCUUACGCCUCUCACCUAAUAUAGAUAAAAAUCUUAUUACCCAAUUUACCCUUAUGGUAAUGGCUUCUUUGUUGUGUCAAUGUGGUGGGAAAGAAGUAGUACUAUGUACGUGUGGGGAGCUUUGCAAAUUUCUUACUAAUAAGUCCAUGUAAUAAGAGAAUAUUAUAUGGAAAUAAAAUUGGCUACACAUGCACAUGCUUGUAGUGGUACGAGUGUAAAUGUUGUUGGGGGAUGAUUGCUUAGAAUAAUGAAACGUGGUAAGCUUGGACGCAAAGAUUUCAUUUAAAAACAAUGCGGCUUUCCUAUAAAAUGGGAACAGAGAUUUGAAUAGCGAUUUUUAAAUCCUCACUUAGUGCUUAAAUAUUUUAGCACACGCUCAUAGAACACACACUAUGAAUGAAACACAUCCAUGCCUAUUUAUAAUUGUUGUAAGGCGGAUUAUAUAGCCGUAUAUUGUUGGCCACUUAAAAAAAUACAUCUCGCAUUUCUCCUUAUAGAAAGAUGAAAAGUCAAACAUGACUUUGACCAUUCAAUAUGCUUUUUCUUCUUGCUUGUUUGGUGACAUUACUUGUUUGACUAGCCAUUGAAUUUUUUUAUCCUCUAAAAAGUAAAAUUAAACUUUGUCUUCACCUCUAUCGAUCUCCCACUUGGAGACAUACCAAAUCACAGUGACUAUGCCUUCAUCCUCAAAUUCAAAAACUAACUGAAGUUGAACAGGACUAAUGGUUCUUAUAGACCUGCUCAUAGGAAUUAUGGUUAGCCUCUCUGUGGGUGGUGUCAACUGGACAUUCAUAUCUUAGGGUUUUAACACAUCUCUACUAGAGAUCUCCUCAAGCUUCAUUGUCUCAUGUUCCUUUGUCUUAUCAUCAAGUCUAUCCUUGUCCAUGAUAGACUUAUUGAACACAACAUCUAUGAUACCGGACUCUCCAAAAAUGGAGAAGUAUCCGUGUCGACACGACAUGACACGGAUAUUGACACGGGAUAUGGAUCGAAUCAUCGGUUUUGCACUUGGACACGGCAUCAAAAGGAAGAAGAAGACGACGGAAAGUGGAGUCUUGCAAUCGGCUUGCGUCUAUGGCGAUUAUUUAGCUUCACGUCUAUGUAGAUUGUUGCUUCUGGCUUUGCUUGUGGCUUUACAAAGAAAAUAAAGCAGAGAAGUUGGGGAAGAAAGAAGAGAAUAGAUGGGGAAGAUGACGGGUGCCCUAAUUAAUUGGUUGAAGUGGACUUUUGGAAUGCUAUUGUAAAACCCAAUGUAAAAUGGGCUUUUGGAAUGCUCUUGUAAAACCCAAUGUAAAAAUUUAAGAAAAUGUCAAUUAUUAUAUUGGGAUAAGUUUAUUUUUGUACUAAUUCUUUCUUAUAUUUUUUUAUUUUGUAAUUAAAAUGGUUUAGUCUUAUAUUUUUUCAUAUUAAAUUUAAAUUUAUUUCUAUAAUUGUUUUUAAAUAAUAUAUAAAACAUUGAAAUUGAUUUUUUCCUUUAAUUUGUUUGAAAAGAAUUUGUUUUGUCUUUAAAUUUAAAUUGAUUUCAAAUUAUAACCCAAUUGUUUAAGUUGAUUCUAUCGAAAGAGUUGAUAAACAAACUAAACUAUGAGUUCAUUUUUUGACAACCAAUGCCAAUUAAUUUGUGUACAAGAAAUGAAAAUUUAAAUGGAUCUAUUCUAAAUGGUUGUUCAAUAUUUAUUUUUGAGUUCCUUGGUGUACUUAUUUUUUUUGUUUCUUAUUUUUAUUCAUGUCAACUUUUUAUAAAGUAAUUAAAACAUGACAAAUUCAGUAUUAUUAAUUAUAAAACUAAAAAUACUUACAUUAAAAUAAAAUAACAUAAUUGUUCUGUUAUUAAAAAAAAUAAAAUUGUAAGAUAUAUCCCCAUACUUAUAUCCAAAAUUCGGAUCCUUUUUAACUGUAUCCUCAUAUCUUAAUUUUUAAAAUAAGAAGAAUCCAACUCCUAGAUAUGUACCUAUAUUCGACACCCGCACUCGAGUCCGAGCAACAUAGCACAACAUCCAUGCUCUUAAUUAUUUUUCGAUUUUCAUAAUCUCAAAAUCGAUAACUAUAAUUAUCGGAGCCAUAACCAAUAAAGAUGAAUCUACGAGACUUAUGAUCAAGCUUAUUCCUAUUCUCAGGUUCAUUGUGAACAUAUUCUUAAAUGCAAUAAGUUCACCUCUUUUCCGGUCUAUGCCAUCCUAGGAUUCCGUAAUUCAAGAGAACUAAAGGACCUCUGGAUAAGCAGCUGUGUUUACUGCAUUUGCCCAAAAGUGCUUUGGUAAACCAGAAUUAAUCCUCAUACUUCUAAAACUUUUCUUUUUUUUAAUUCUAAUUCUUUGAAAUUAUACAAUUUUACCCUAAUCAACCGACUUUAUCGAGGAAAAAAUACUUUCUUAGGCCAAGAAGUUGAUAGCAAGAUCUCAAAUCAACUUAUUGGUCUUAUGGUAUUUCUCAGUAUCGAGGGUGAUACCAAUCCAUCAAUGGUGUGAUAUUGCCUGGAAAAGCUUUCUCCAGGGUGCCUGGUCUUGUGCUCGCUCAUGCGGGGACUUUAAAGAUCUUAGAUCUGGUGGAGAUUGGGCCAUCCCUCUUGACAUUUAGCACGUUCCAGGAUUUUCAGUAGAUUCGUGAAUAAUCCUAGCAAGGAACAUUGGGAAGCUAUUAAGUGGAUAUUGCGAUACAUUAAGGGUACUAGGGAUAUAGCUCUUCGUUAUGGUGGCUGGCUCAAAGAUAGGUUUGUAUGGAUAUGUUGAUUCUGAUUUUGUUGGAAAAAUUGAUAGUAGAAAGUGUACGAUUGGCUAUGUGUUUAUUCUUGAAUGUGCUACAAUUAGUUGGGUUUCUUCCCAGUUACAAAAGAUUAUAACCAUUUCUACCACAGAGGCAGGGUAUGUUGCAAUGACAAGAGAUUGGAAGGAAAUGGUAUGGUUUCAUAAUUUCUUAAGUGAAUUGGGCAAGAAUCUUGAUGACUACAAGUUGUAUAAUGAUAGUCAAAGUGUUAUACAUGUUGCAAAGAGUUAUACGUUUCACUUAAGAACAAAUCAUAUUGACAUUAAAUACUAUCUUGUUCGUUCGCUCUUAGAAGAUGGUAAAAUUAAUUUGGAGAAGAUCCACACUUUGGAAAUUUUGCAGUUAGGUUAACAAAGGUAGUUACUAUUGAGAUAUUGAAGUCUUGUUCAACUUCAAUUGGUCUUUGUACUUGAUGAUAAAGGCGGGAGUCAUUGCGGCUUGAUAUUUGUCUCCAAGUAGGAGAUUGAUAGAGGUAGAGACAAAGUUUAAGUUUACUUUUUAUAGAAUAUGGUCAGUAGUUGAUAGAGGUGAAGACAAAGUUUAAUUUUACUUCUUAGAGGAUAAAAAAAAAAAUUUAAUGGCUUGUCAAACAAGUAAUGCUACCAAACAAGCAAGAAGAGAAAGCCCAUUGGAUGGUCAAAGUCAUGUUAGACUUUUCAUCUUUUUAAAAGGAAGAAUACGCUCUGUAUGUUGUUAAGUGACUAGCAAUGCACAAUUAUACAAAUCGCCAUACACACCUAUAAAUAGGCUUGGAUGUGUUUCAUUUAUAAUGUGGGUUCUAUGAGUGUAUCUUAAAAUAUUUGAGCAUCAAAUGAGGAUUUGAGAAAGAUAAGAGUUUGUUAUUAAGAUACUUUGAAGCUUCUCUUUGAAACUCAUCUUGUAAUCCUCUAUUCCUAUUUUAUAGUAAAGUCGCAUUAUUUAUUAAGUGAAAUCUUUGUGUCCAAGUUUUGCUAUCUUUCAUUAUCUUGAGCAAUCAUUUCUAAGAAAUAAAAUUUAAUGAUUGGUCAAAUAAUGCUACCAAAUGCGCCCAAUUUUUCCAUGGGGUGGCUAAUUCUAUCAAGCACAACAAAUUUAUCACUAUGUUGGAGAUAGAUGGGGUUAUGAGAAUUCACGGGAUAUUGGGACCUAAAUAAUAAAUUUCUAUCAAACACUUUAUCAGGAGCAGUUUGAUUGAAGGUCGAGUUGGAGGGGGUAGAUUUUUCUACUAUUAUUGAGGAUGCCCGUCAGUUAGAGAGACUAUUUGGGGAGGAUGAAACUAAGGAGGAGGUGUUCAGCAUGAAUGAUGAUAAGGCCCUUGGACCGGUUAAAUUCUCUCUCUCAUUUUAUAAGGCUUUUUAGGUUGUUCAAGAUUAUUGCGAAGAUUUAGCGAACAAAUUUAAGGUGCAGGGGAAGUGGCUUCUAAGUUUCAAAAUGCUUUUGUUAAAGAGCGUCAUAUUUUAGAUUCCGUACUUAUAGCAAAUGAAUGCAUUAACUCAAGACUAUGCCUAGGGUUCUAGGAAUGUUAUGUAAGUUUGACAUUCAGAAGGCUUAUGAUCACGUAAAUUGGGGAUUUCAUUUGUAUAUGCUGAGGCAAUGUGGCUUCGAGGAUAAGUGGUGCUAGUGGAUCGAGUUUUGUAUCUCUACAGCUUCUUUCUCAGUUAUGGUGAACGGCACUCCGGAAGGUUAUUUUCGUAGCAGCAUAGGAUUGAGGCAAGGGGAUCCUUUGUCUCCAUUGCUAUUCGUCAUUGUAAUAGAAGCUUUUAAUAAGAUGCUUGAGAAGGCUUUGGGGGAGAGUUUGUCAAGGGGCUUUAUGGUUGAGCAAUUGCAGGCAUGUCAUUUGUUAUUUGCAAAUGAUAUGCUGAUCUUCUGUGAUGCAAAUGUUGAGCAAUUUUGUAGUAGAAAAUGGUAAUAUUAUCAAUUUUUGGGAUGAUUAUUGGUGUUGAGAUCAAUCGUUAUGGGUGAGAUUUCCUUUGUAUCGUAUUGUGUUGGUGCCAUCUAUCAUGGUAAAUGGUCUUAAAUAUACAUAAUAGGAGUCUCGGUUGGAAUUGCAGGAUUGGGAAUUGGAUGAUUAUGCAAUGCUAUUGACAUCUUUGUACAAGGCACACAUCAGGUGGGAAAGGGUGAUUGUAGCUUGUGGAGGUUGACACGGUAUGAUAUUCUUUUCAUUGACACUUAUUUUAUAUCCUUAUUGGGACCUGUGGAGAUUUCAUCUGGAAGACGGUAUGGAAACGCCUCCACGGGUGGCAUUUUUACUCUGGACAAGAGGACAGGUGUUAACGGUGGAUAUCCUUCGAACAAAGGGUUUUUAUCUUACAAAGUGGUGCUAUAUGUGUAGGGGGAUGGGGAGACAAUUGACAACUUAUUCCUUCAUUGUAUUGCUGCUCAUUUGCUGUGGAACGAUAUUCUGGCAUCUCAGUACAUGGAUUGGGUGUUGUCGAGGCGUAUGGAAGAUGUGUUAAAGACAUAGAGGAGAAAAUUUCGCGGUAAGGAUAACAAGCUUUUAUAGACCUUAUUCUGGGAUGCAUCUUAUGGUGUGUAUGGAGAGAGAAAUAGCCGUUAUUUUGGUGAUCAAACACGGACAAUAGAACAAAUUAGAGAAUUGUUUUAUUUGACAUUAUAUAAUUAGUUUAAUGUUGUGGCUACUAGACAUAUAGACAGGUUGUCCAAUUUCAUAUUCCUUUUUAGUUUAAAUUGAUAACACACUUUUUGUGUAUGUAUUAUGCAUUCAUGAAUAAAAUAUUUGAUUAUCUUUCAAAAAAAUGUAAUGCUACUAAACAAGAAAGAAGAGGAAGCCUAUUGGAUGGUCAAAGUCAUAUUUGACUUUUCAUCUUUUUAAAAGGAGGAAUGCUCACUGUAUUUUGUUAAGUGGCCAGUAAUAGACAGCUAUACAAACCGCCUUACAACAUCUAUAAAUAAGUUUGGAUGUGUUUCAUUCAUAGUGUGUGUUCAAUAAGUGUGUGCUGAAAUAUUUGAGCACUAAGAAUUUGAGAAAGAUAGUUAUGGAGAGAGAGAGAGAGAGAGAGAGUUUGAGAUACUUUAUAACUUUUUAAAAUUCAUCUUGUAAUUUACUGUUCUUAUUUUUUAUAAUAAGACCGCAUUAUUUUUUGAGUCAAAUCUUUAUGUCUAAAUUUUGCCAUCUUUUAUUAUCUUAGGCAAUCAUAUCCAACAAUUGGUAUCAAAGCUCUAGGUCAAUUUGGUAGAGCAUGUGAACGUAUCAACUGUAGUUACAUUCAAUAGUAGCUGAGUUGCAACUAUAUCAAUGAUGGUAGAAGACUGAAACGUCAAGAUCAAAAAAUUCAAUGCUACGAACUUCAGAUCAUGGAAGAUCCAAAUAGAAGAUUAUCUCUACCAAGAUCUUUAUUUUCCUCUUGAAGGAGCAUCAAAGAAAUCUGUGGAUAUCAAAAGGAGUUGGGAAUUACUUGAAUGUAAAUCCUUAGGUGUGAUAAGGCCGACUCUUGUUGCUUUCAAUAUUAGAAAUGAAAAGACAAUCAAAAGUUUGAUUGCAGCUUUAUCACUAAUGUCUGAGAAGCCCUCUGCAACUAAUAAAGUCUUACUAAGAAGUUAUUCAACUUGAAGAUGUUCGAGGGAGGAGUUGCAUCAAUGAUUUCAAUGCACUUAUAAGUUAGUUGGAAUCGUUUGAUAUCUCAUUUGACGAUGAGGUCAAAGCAUUAGCAUUGUUAUCAAGUCUUCCUGAGAGUUAGAAUCCUUUGGUUGUGGCAAUGAGCAAUUUCACGGGUUUGGCAAAGUUAAAACCAGAUUGUGUUGUAGAUUUGGUUCUUAGCGAAGAUACUCAUAGAAAAGAUGGUGGAGAAACCUUGGAUUUGGCUUUGGCAACUGACGCUAGAGGUAGAAAGCUAAACAGAGGUGGCAACAACAGGCAAAACACAAGUCGAUCGAGAAAUGGUCAACAACAAUCUCGAUCAAAGUUCAAAGGCUAGUAUUGGAACUGCGAAAUAUGUGGUAACACAAAGCAAGAUUAUAGAGCACUACAAAAGCAAGACAACUACCAAGGAGAUGAAAACUUUGUUAAUGUUUCAGAUGAUGAAAAUUCUGAUGCAUUUUUGUUAGUAGUGGAUGCUUACAGAGAAUCUUGGUUAAUUGAUUUAGGUGCAUCAUUUCAUGCCACUUCGCACAACCCCGCCCCGCCUUGCCUUAGAUGGGCAGUGGCUUGCCCCGUUUGUUGCCCCUUUUAUAUAUAUAUAUUUAAUAUUUCAAAAUUUCGAGUUAUGCUAUUAUUAGAGAAUAAAAUACAAAUUCAAAAUUUUAAAAUCCAAAGCAAAUAAUCUAGAACUAAUAAUUUUUAUUUUUUUUAACUUCACGGGGCGGGUUAUUUUGCCAUUUCUAUAACUAUGUACUAGGCAAUCUCGAUAAGGUGUAUCUUGGAAACAAUGAGAUUUGUAACAUAGUUGACAAAUGAGAUGUUCAAAUAAAUCAACCUAAUGAACUACCCUUAAGAAUCAAGGAUGUUAGACAUGUGCUAUGUCUGCAGAAGAAGCUAAAUUCUUUGGGUCAACUUUUUGACUCUGGUAUUGCAACAACUUUUGUUGGUGACACUUGGAAGAUGACUAGAGGAGCAAUGAUGGUAACUCAUGAAGGAAGGUACUCUCUAUGUUACGUUUGGUACUUAUGGUUCCAUUGGCACUACAUCAUUAGAAAUCGAGGCGACCACGUGCCAUCAUAAACUUGGACAAAUGAGAGAGAAAUGGAUGAAGGUACUGAUGUCACAAGGGAAACUAUUAGGUUAGAAGUCUCUAGACUUGGAUUUACGUGAAGAUUGCAUCUUUGAAAAAGCAAAGAAGGGUUAGUUUCACAUAAGUUCAAAGCAGACACAAGUCAACACAGUUGGAGUUGGUGCAUACAGAUGUAUGGGGACCAUCUCAAGUAACAUCUCUUGGUGACUCAAAAAUGGUCUUGGAUGUGUUUUAUUCACAGUGUAUUCAAUAAGUGUGUGCUAAAAUAUUUUAGCACUAAGAAUUCGAGAAAGAUAGAGUUAGUUAUUGAGAGAGUUCGAGAUACUUUGUAACUCUUUGAAAUUCAUUUUGGAGUCCUCCGUUGCUAUUUUAUAGUAAAGCCGCAUUAUUUCUUGAGUGAAAUCUUUGUGUUCAAGUUUUGCUAUCUUUCAUUAUCCUAGGCAGUCAUUCCCAACACUUGCCGCAUGAAUCAAUGAAUUUUCAUGUGUAGUGGUUUGGUUAUUAACUUUUCCUGUCUAGUACCUCUUUUGCUUCUGCAAGUUUGUGUGUCAUCUUAAUUUUCAUAUAUCAAUGGGUUUUAAUUUCAUUGUUUCUAAGUAAAUUAACAUGUGUCAACAGGGAGCAAGCAUUAUUGGGAGUUCGUUCUAUUUCAACUCAAAUCGGUAAGCAGCAUUUUUGAAUCUAUAUGUGCAAAGUCAGUUAUUUUAUAUUUAUAAUCUUGUUUAGUUUUACACAAUUACUGCUCGUCAAAUUAUUAGUUGAGGAUUAAUGUUUAUGGUCAUGAUACAUAUCUGCAGUCCGCAACCGUAUGAGGAGUGUUAAGAACAUUCAGAAAAUAACUAAGGCAAUGAAGAUGGUUGCAGCCUCAAAGCUUCGAGCAAUUCAAACUAGAGCUGAAAACUCACGUGGGUUAUGGCAGCCAUUCACUGCUCUUCUCGGUGACACUCCAAGUAAGUUCAUUAAUAAUUCUGAUUAUGUUUCAGUCCUACUGAGGUUUUAUUAUCUUAUGCCCCUGCUUCCACAAGCUCUUAGCAUACUUUACUCUACUUUUAUAAUUUUUAAUUAUUCAUUUUCAACAUCAGAAAUCCUUGUAUUUUUGUUGUUGUCCCUACUGUAGCAUACGCUGACCACAUUAAACAUUGUAGUAGAUUUUUCUUUUAUUUUCUGAAAAUAGUUUUAGGGUUUCCUAUUGAAAUUCAAUUCUCAGCCAUUGUACCUUAGGUGUAGUUAAAAAAUAAAUAUUUAGACCUUCUCAAAGAUCAGAUGUUAUUGCUCUUACGCGGUGACUUCACUCUGGAACCUGUACGCCUUCUGUUUUUUACCCUCAGAAAGUAUAUUGAAAAAAUAAUUAUUUAGACCGUCAACAGUAAAGAUCAGAUGUUCUACCUCGAGGUGAUUUUACUUUGGGAACUGUACUUAUGCUUUUUGUUUGUUUUUUACCCUCUCGUUUUAGUGAAAUAUAAUGGAUUUUGGAGCACUUGGAGUUUUUAAAGAAAUGGAAUUAUAUAAAAAGAGAGGAAAAAAAACUGGGAGAAAGUCUUUCAUAUACAGAACUUGUUAUUCUCUCUUCUAAGACUUACCUUUCCUUGCGUUCUUAUGCAUUAGGUGUUGAUGUCAAGAAAAAUGUUAUUGUUACAAUUACUUCGGAUAAAGGUCUUUGUGGUGGUAUUAACUCUACAUCUGUCAAGAUAAGCAGGGGUCUUCGUAAGUUAAAUUCAGGUACGUUAUAAGUUUGCCAUUGCACUGAGCUCUUUUGUCAUCUAUGAGCAUUGCUGUCAUAAAUUUUAUUUGUUCUCUACAAAGGUCCGGACCAGGAAAGUAAAUAUGUCAUUUUGGGAGAGAAGGCCAAGGCCCAACUUGUGCGAGACUCCAAGAAACACAUUGAGUUAAUUAUAACUGAGUUGCAGAAGAAUCCUCUAAACUAUACUCAGGUUGUCUUCUGAACAGAUAUGCUUGAUGAAUACCUAAGACUCCCCCCACCCCCAUCCCUGUCCCAUUUCCACCCUGAUUAUAUUGUGGAAAAUGCUGCUACAAUUUUUGUAGAAUGCUCAAUGUCCUUAUCUUUCCAACUUCAAGUAAGAGGUUUAGUUAUUAGGUUGAGUAGUUGUAGAAUAGCCGAAGUCAGACAGACUGGACGUUAGCAAAGCUCAUACUUGAUUAGCUUAUGAUCUUUGAUCUUGAUUAAAAUGGAAACGUGAAUACGUCAUUGAGUAUUGCUUUUAGACAAAAGUCGUUGGUUCACCUUGACAUGGUAUAGAAUUUUUCCCCGUCUUAUUUACUUGUUUACACAUGUUUUAGAGUAUGAUAUUGUUUGGAGGUAAAUAAAUUUAGGCCAUAUUGGACUUUUUUGCUUAUAAGCUGUGGGCCUCACAGUUGUGCGUAUUUUGGUCCACAUAGUUUGUGGGAUCCUAAAGCUUAUAAUAAAUGCCAAAGAUGCUCUUAGACAAUCUGCUAUCCUCUGGAUCACGAAGGCUCGAGUACAAAGAAUGAUUAGCCAAAUGUGGGUAUUUAUGCUCAUUUUAGUUUGAAACGAGAUACAGUCGAUAAAUUUGGUUUGAGGAACGAACCUGAAUAAACUUAUUGGCCAACCAGAAUAAGCUGAUUAUACUGUUGUAUUCAUUUGCAGCCCCACUUGUGGCAUUGAGUAUUCCAAUAACAAAAGAAGCCUUAUUGUUAAUAAAAUUGAGGCUACAUGAAUCUUUUCAUUGGUGAUUUCUGUUCAUUACUACGUUUAGUGUUAGUCUACCACUCACUCACUCUUCUAACUAUUCGACGAGAUCACAUCACUCUUAAUAUCAGGAGUUUUCUUAUUAUUAGGAGUUUUCUUCGAGUCUAGAAAAUACAUAGCCCAAUCACCUAAAUUGUCAUGCCCUUAUAAUACCCUUGGCGAGUGUAGCGUCCACUUGUUGGCAUAUAUUCUCAUUUCUUAGCUUAUCCAUUCUAUUAUGGCCACCCAUUCAUCUUAGCAUCUUAAUAUCUUUUCAGUUCAUCUUGUGGACAUUUGUGCCUUUCAAGAAACCGACAUUCACUAGCAUUUUUGUCCUCUGUUUCUAUUUAUUACAUCCUCUUAAUUCCUCCUUGUUAAUAAUCAAACCUAUAUAAUUAAACAAUAACGCUUUGGGACAACAUUGCUGGUGUCCUAAUUCCUAUAACUUUUCAUGAUAUUUAGUAAUAACUAAUAUGUAUAUAAUCUUUAUUUCGUCUGCAUUCACUUUACUAGAUUAGGACCAAAUUUCUGAUGGCAAUAUGGAACUGGAAUUUCUGUUUGGUCUCUACUUUAGUGUCCAGUCUGAUUGAUGGACUAAAAAGGCUUGCUGAAGAAACUUAAUUGAUAAGCAAAUUGUGUAUUAAGCCACAGGAAUUUCAACUGUUUAUACUAUCUUUUUGAUAACUUUUUUCAUGUCCUAUUGCUGCCACUGCAGGUUUCUGUACUUGCAGAUGACAUUUUAAAGAAUGUAGAGUAUGAUGCAUUGAGGAUUGUUUUCAACAAGUUCCAAUCCGUUGUCUCUUUUCUGCCAACAACAGCAACUGUGUUAUCCCCCGAGGUCAUUGAUAAGAUCAACUUAAUUUACUAAAGCAAGCAUUUCGGUGACUGCUUUUAAUUGUAGAUUCUAAUUUGCUGCAAUCCUGAUAUAGGUCGUUGAGAGAGAAGCUGAAUCUGGGGGAAAACUUCGGGAAUUAGACUCCUACGAAAUUGAAGGAGGUGAAACAAAGUCAGAAGUACUGCAGAAUCUCACAGAAUUCCAGUUUUCCUGUGUAUGUUUGAACUUUCUGAUUGAUUGUUAUAUAUUUGUUGGAAAGAUAAAACUUACGAUCUAACUUGUGCUUAAUCCCAUCUAAUAUGAAAGCCACAGAGCUUCAGAAUCUAUCUGACAUCCAUUUUUCCUGUGUAUGAUAUACCUUUCUGAUUGAAUUUUAUAUAUUCAUAGGAAAGGUGGCCUUAGGAACUAUUUCUCAUUAUAGCUUUCCAUCAAGUUUGAGACAGUUUUAAUGUUUUCUUCAGGUUAUGUUCAAUGCGGUCCUAGAAAAUGCUUGCAGUGAGCAAGGAGCCAGAAUGUCUGCAAUGGACAGCUCCAGCAGAAAUGCAGGAGAUAUGCUCGAUCGCCUCACUCUUGCUUAUAACAGGUACGCUUGACAGUUUAUUCAAAUACCCAAAUCAUGUUCAUAAUGCUUAUUUGAUUUUUGAUCCAUCAGGGGAUGAGAUAGAAAUAUGAUAAACCUUUUUCCUGUGUUCUUCUUGUUCUCCAAUUUGAUCGGUCUUUACUUCUAUGUUCUAUCAGAACCCGUCAAGCAUCUAUCACUACAGAGCUGAUAGAGAUUAUAUCUGGAGCAUCAGCACUGCAGGGUUGAUUCAACAAAUCUUGUGCAGCCUCCCUCGUCUACCCUCUUCCAACAAUGAUGAAAUAAAGAAAAUACUGCAAAGGUUUUGCAGUUUUGAGGAUGUGGUAUUGAGUUUUUUGGUUUAUCUUUUAGCAAUCUCCCUGCCUGAUCUCAUUUCUGGGGAAUACUUGUGUGUUAAGAUUGUCACGAAAACCUGGUUACCUUUUCAUCUGUUUUCCGAAGUAAAUUUCUGCUGUGCUUUCUUGGCUUCGGUUAUGUCAUAUGUGUUGGGUUGUUAAUGAGGAUGGAAGGAAGCUCCUCUGAAUUUACAUUUUUCUCAACCUAGUUAUAAUGGCAGUUAGUUUGACUAAGUCGUAUCAGUUCUAGAAUUUUAGUUCAAUUUAAAUUAAUUUUAGCAGAUCAAAGUACAAUGCCACUCUACUCUCUUUCUGGCCUCAGCUAAAAUAUGGAUCAUCAACCCAAGUGAAUUGCUGUUAUAUUUUUAUUAUGUACGUGCUGUGCAACUGCAUGCGUGCAACAGGCAAGGAGACCUCUAGUUGAAGGAGUUGUUUGACAGUUCCAUUUGAUGAUUUGGUGGAGUCGUACUUUUGCAAGAUUGUUAUGUUAAAAUUGGUAAGUUGCCCCAAUCUACUUAAAUGAAGCAAAUCAACCAUGCAACUCGUUGUGAUGUCGAGCUUUUUACCAUAGGAAGGUGCCCAUAUGGUUCUACUAUUUCUUUUAACAACUUUGUAACCUCGAACGGAGAUUAGAAGUGUUUUUACAAUGGGUUUUUUGGCAUUGUUAUGUCCAUUUCAAGUCAAGAGUUAGGAGCACAGUCUGCAUGACAAAGUGGUCGCGAUGAUAUGCUAUUCUAAUUCAGAAAAUUACCUGCUACGGCCUUGCUUUGGAGUCCGGGCCCUUUUUUGGUUUUCCCGUCUGAUUUUUGCUUGUUUUACAAUCUCCAAGCUUAACAAUAUUGUUUGGCAUUGUUUUAUUAUUAUUUCUUUUUUCUUUUUUUUUGGAUGACGGGAGAACCCACAGCCAUUACUAUUCGGGUGUGCACUGGGUAAACUUUCGGACUAACGCAAUAGCCUGCAAAUCACGCCAAUCAUGUAAAUUGCACUACUAGACAAGCCCGGUGCGAUAGAAAAGCCAAGCUUAACAAUAUUAGCGAACUGUCUUUUUUUUUUUUUUUUGUUUUUUAUUAUAACGGGGGAACUCGCAGCCACUACCAUUCGGGUGCGUACUAGGUAAACCUUCGGACUAACGCAAUAGCCUGCAAACCACGUCAGUUAGGUAAAUUGCACUCGGCAAGUUCGGUGCGAUAGACUCGAUCGAAAAAGUGUUAGAAAGGGGAAUCGAACUCGUGAUCAAAAGCCUUCGUACUCACUUACUCAACCAACUCGGCCACCCCGUGAGAGGCUUAACAAUAUUAGUGGAGACUCUUUUUUUGUAUUUAUUUUGGUUUUAUUAGCGUAGAAUUUAUAGAUUGUAUAAAAAGUAUUUGGAAAUAAGAAAUAUUUGUUUGAUUCUCAUUUUUUGGUUAACUGUAUAUUUUAUGUCACGAUAAUUUAUUUUUAUUCUUAUAAAUAAGUAUAAUGAAUGUUGUGAUUGUAUAUAUGUCAACGAUAAUUUAUUUUUAAUUAUUUAUUGUAUUUUUUGUUUAAUGUAGAUGAAGAUUUUUUUUUUUAUCUAAUAUUGCAAAUAAGUUGUAAAUUGAAUUUUGCAAAAUGCUUUUCUUUCACAACUUUGAUUCGAGAGGCUAUACUUGUAGUUCAAAAAUAACCCAUGCAGUUGUAAAUUGAAAGAGAAUAUCCACAUACACAAAUAUUUAAAUAACAAACUCAGGUUCGCACGUAAAAUAACUUGAAAUAGCACUUACUGGAUGGUCAACUCCCUUGAUGGUGUAAGAAUUAGAACCCUAACAACAGGCCUAUUCUUCAGACGAUACAACAGUCACUNNNNNNNNNNNNNNNNNNNNNNNNNNNNNNNNNNNNNNNNNNNNNNNNNNNNNNNNNNNNNNNNNNNNNNNNNNNNNNNNNNNNNNNNNNNNNNNNNNNNNNNNNNNNNNNNNNNNNNNNNNNNNNNNNNNNNNNNNNNNNNNNNNNNNNNNNNNNNNNNNNNNNNNNNNNNNNNNNUUUUUUUUUUUUACUUAUAAAAGUGGUCAGCACGGAGUAAGGCGGAAGGUAUGAAAAGUUGCGUGUUACAUAGAUUCACAUUGCCUCUCUUACACUAUAUAUAUAAUAUAAUAAUAUAAGCAAAUGAGUUGAUUUGAAAAGGCGUGCCAUAGCGUAUGAAAAUGGAGAACAGAAAAGUACAAAAAAAUUUGAAUAAUCCUCCGUGCACGGAAACCACACUAUAUAUAAUUUUUUUUAAUUCUUUUCUCUUCAAUUUUUUUAACCUACAAAUAACUUUUUCGUUAAAAUUGAAAAAUUAAGUUUUAUUUGGAAGAUAAAAGAAUUAAAAAGAAAAAAAUAAUUGGUUUUUUUAAGAAAAAAACGCAUUUUUAACACAUACGUUUAAUUUCCAUUUAACUAUUUUCAAUAUUUAUUUAGAUCAUCUGAUAUCUCUACGAUAUAGUUCUCAAAAUGAGUUUCGAGAGAAUGUAAAACAUUUAUCGAUUUGACUAUCGUACAAUCGUCGACGAAUUUUUAAAGUUAGCUUGUUAUCGAAAAUUUCGAAAUUGUAAUAAAAUAAUUGAUUUUUUUUAAGAAAAAGGACAUGUGCGUAUUUUUUUAACACAUAAGUUUAAUGUCCGUUUAACUAUUUUUGAUAUCUAUUUAGAUCAUUCGAUGUCUCUAAGAUAUAGUUCUCAAAAUGAGUUUCGAGAGAAUGUAAAACAUUUAUCGAUUAGACUAUCGUACAAUCGUCGAUGAAUUUUUAAAGUUAGCUUGUAAUAGAAAAUUUCAAAAUAUAGUUUGAAAAUGCCUACUUUGACGUCCCAUAACAUUUGCUAUGAUUGACCGUUUUACGCACCGUUAACGACGUGCAAUACUAUGCUACGAGUACUUUAAAACGAUAUUAAGAAUGUAAUAUUUCGAUUUCGUUUGAUAUCUCGUAAUGAGCGUGAAAAUAAACUCAAAAAUAUAAGUAAAAAAAAAAUUAAAAAAAAAUCAUUUCUCUCAUGGUCUCUGUGCACGGAGACCUCACGAUCCUCUUAUUUUUUUUCUUUUUUAAAUAAAAAUCAAUACUUCUUUAUACUAUAUAAACUAACUACAAUGAUAUAUAUAUAUAUAUAUAUAUAUAUAUAUUUUUUUUUUUUUUUUUUNNNNNNNNNNNNNNNNNNNNNNNNNNNNNNNNNNNNNNNNNNNNNNNNNNUUUUUUACACAAUUUGAAGUAAACUUUUUACUAUGUAAAGAAAUAUACUUAAAACUUUGAGUUAAUAUUUAAUCUAAAGUAAUAUUUAGAUAAAUUUAAUUUAAAAAAUUCAAUAUUACUAAAAAUAUUACUAUUAAAUUAAAUAUUGUCUGAAAUUAUUUUUAUAUAUAUAUAAAAGUGAUUUUUUUCAUUAAUAAUCAGUAUUUUUUAAUAGUUUGAGAUAAAAUUUAAUUUUUUAGUAAUAAUUUAAUAUAUAAAAUGAUGAAAAAAAACAUAUUCACUCUGUGCAUGAAGAAAAAAAAUUUCGUCAUACCACAUAAUUUUUUUGAGCAAAAUGAUGCGUUGAGAAAAUUGUUGAGAAAAAAGAAUAAAUAGUAAUAAAAUAAUUGAUUUUUUUAAGAAUAAACGACGUAUACGCAUUUUUAACACAUACCACAUAUUUUUUUUUUGAGCAAAAAUUUAGAUCGUCUGAUAUCUAUACGAUAUAGUUCUCAAAAUUAGUUUCGAGAGAAUGUAAAACAUUUAUCGAUUCGACUAUCGUAUAAUCGUCGAUGAAUUUUUAAAAUUAGCUUGUUAUCGAAAAUUUCGAAAUAGUAAUAAAAUAAUUGAUUUUUUAAAGAAAAAACGACUUAUGCGUAUUUUUUAACACAUAUGUUUAAUGUCCGUUUUACUAUUUUUGAUAUCUAUUUAGAUCAUUCGAUGUCUUUACGAUAUAGUUCUCAAAAUGAGUUUCGAAAAAAUGUAAAAUUUUUAUCGAUUCGACUAUCGUACAAUCGCCGAUGAAUUUUUAAAAUUAGUUUGUUAUCGAAAAUUUCGAAAUAUAGUUUGAAAAUGCCUACUUUGACGUCCCAUAACAUUUGCUACGAUUGACCGUUUCACGCACCGUUAACGACGUGCAAUACUAUGCCGCGAGUAUUUCAAAACGAUAUUAAGAAUGUAAUAUUUCGAUUUCGUUUGAUAUCCCGUAAUGAACUUGAAAAUGAACACAAAAACAUAAGUAAAAAAAUAAAAAAUAAAAAAUUCUCUAAAUUUUGUCUCCAUGCACAGAGACACUGUUUCCGUGCAUGGAGACACCUGCCUCUGUGCACGGAGGUUUCAACAAUUUUUUUCCCCCCUUCGUGCACGUAGACAGUGUCUCCGUGCAUGGAGACUAAUGUCUCCGUGCACGGAGAGAUUACCUUCUUCUUCUUUUUUUUUUUUUUUUUUUUUUUUUUUUUUGUUUUUUUUUUUAUUUUUUUUUUUUUUUUUUUAUUUUUUUUUUAUUCAUAACUCAUUCGUUUUUUUUUUUGCUGUGUAGUUUUAGUUAUAAUUUUUUUUUUCAAUUUAUAAUUCUCUUUAAUUCUUUUCUCUUCAAAUUUUUUUAAUAUGUUGUAAAAAAAAUUUCUAUCGCAUAUUAUCUCUAUCUUUUUUUUUAAUAUAAAAGUGACAUUUUUCUUAUAUCCCUAUUAUAUAUAUCUAUAUCGGAGUGGGGAGGAAUGGAAAUUGCGUAUUGCAGUAAAUUUGGAGGUAGUGUACAAUAAAAUAAAAUAUAUAUCAAGCAAACGGCGUCGUUUUUGGCCCCCAGAUUGAAAAAAACAAAAAAAAAUACUACAGUAAAGAUGGAUCAAGACACUGUUGCUUUCUAUAAUGUCCUCACACUCCCCUUUUUUAUAUAGUAGGGAAACUACAAUCCUGUUGAAGUCUCGAUAAUAUAUCAAACGCUCCUUGCGAGUGGAAAUUUUUAAUGCAGGCUUGCAAGCACAUUUUGUACAGAAAAAAAGUUGUCUAUGAGAAUGUAGGUUCAUUAUCACACUGUUUAAUGCAUAACAAUGCAUUCUAAUUUUAUUGGAUAGUCGCAACAUAGCCUGGUAUUAAGCACUCGUGGAGCUAAAUAACGUUACUGAAAAAGCUUUUCAUGCUAUGUGUUCUACGCAAUCACAUUUAGGGGCGAUUUGGACAUUACAUUGGCAUACAUGCAGCCCCUUUUUGGGUAAUUAUAUUUAUACCACGAUUUUUAUUUCUUACGCUACAUUUUAAUUGCACUUACGUACUCAAUAUUUACUCAUUAUAGCAUUUAUGUCUACAACAUUUUUCAGAGCAUUCUUAUUCCCAAAUUUUCUAUUAGUUCAAUUUGUAUUUGAUAACAGUUUCCAUCCAAAAAGGGCGUUGAGAUAGUGUAUAACAACUUAUUUUCUCAUCAUAUUCAAAUUAAAUAAAUAAGUACGAAAAAAUAUUUUUCCUUAUUUCAAAGCAUUAAAACAAAAUUUUUUGACACAAAUAAUCAUCAAUGACGAAAUGUACUAAUUAACGGAAGAUUGUAGAUAAGAAUUCGAUAAAAAAAUUAAUGAAAUAAUUACAACAACAAACAAAGAUUGAAGAUUUUAAUUGCAACUAAAAUAUAAUGUAAUAAAUAAAAAUUGUGAUGAUAAUAUAAUCACCGCCGUUUAUUAAUCAAUUAGGGAUGGCAAUUCGGAUUGCCAACUCGGGCACUUCGUAGCUCUGCCCGAAAAAAGCCCGACCCGACCCGUGUGGCUUGUUGUCUCAAGGUCACGGGCCUUAAAAUAAAAGACAAGAAAAGCGGCAAAAUGUUGCCAUUUAAAAGGCAGCAGUUUACUAUUAAAAAAAAUCGAGCCUACUUGGCUCGACCCGGCUCGAAAAGGCCCAGGCCAAAAACUAGGAUUGAGCCUAAAUUUUUGGUCGAGCAAAAGCUCGACUCAACUCGGCUCGGGCUCGGAAAAAAUCUGGCACCAUUUUACUCGAGUCGAGUCGAGCCCGCCUCUAGAGUUUUAGGUCACGAACCGACUCUACUCGGCCCAUUGACAUCCCUACAAUCAACGAAAAAUAGUUCUUUCUAAAUGGCAAAGGGCAAUGUUGACAUUUCAUGAGAAGGCGCCAUUUCAGGAAUCUACCCGACCCAUUAUCAUUUGCAAUGAUAGCGUCCCAUUAUUGUCUUAAACUAAGGGUGAUGCACGAAUUAUAGGACAUCCUUGAAGACUUGAAGUAAUGUGUAUUCAAUAAUAUUAUAUAAAACAAUGAUUAAAAUAUUAACCGUUUGAGCUAUAUUUUAUAAAAAAAAAAAUCAUUUUUUCAAAACAUACUUUUAAUCACACGUUUUCCAAUAAAAUAAUAUUACAUAUAAAUCAAAAACUAUUUCUUCAUUUUUAACCGUACAUUUUACAAAAAUCAACAUUCAAAAAUGCGUUUUCUCUCAAAAUGGAUGUAUUGUUAUAUGUUCAAUGUUAUCCAAUUCGACAUGUCUAACAAAUUAAUGAACUUCUAUCAAAAUUAGUUUUUAAAUUUUAUUUUUUGUAGGAUUGUUACAUCUCCAUGAGUAGUUUAUAUCCCAUCCUACGAUAAUUUUUUGACACCUCGACAUCUCUUGUUAAUAAAGGAUAAGAUGUCACAGUGUAAUGCAUUUAAGUGUCAAAUAAUGUGUUAUCAUCUUCUUGCUUGUUAAGAGAAGAUAUUAUGUUGAGAGGUAAAAAAAAUUAAUAAUGGGAUCAUAAAAAUAAAUAAAUCUAAACUUGCGACCCCACUUGCUUAGAGGUUCAACAAACGAACAAUAUCUCGUAUGCUACCGUGUGUCCUAAGGAGAUUUCCACAACAUGCUUGGUUAGGUAUAACUUCAUAGUCUGAGAAUCAACAACCACUCGUUUUCAUUUAACUAAAGAAAAUGAAACGACAUAAGCAUUUAAUCGGAAACGUCACACUGUAACAUUAGUUGCUUUUCUUAAAUAUUAUCAAACGAUAUUAGUUAUAAAAUAUUUUGCACAAAAAGUUGGCCAAGUCAAAAGCUAUUCCUAUAAGUAUUUUUAAUAAAUUAUAAGAAUCAUCAAAAUUGAAAACAUAUAUAUAUUAACCUUCCCGAAUCUAGUCGUAUAUUUAUAGCCUUUAAAAAAAUUACAAAAUUCAUUUGAAAAAAAAAAUAAAAAAAAUAGGGCACAAACAUGGACAAAAAGUCUUUGCGCAUCUUUGACACUUGUUUAUAAUCUAUAUGGGUCAAACUAAUUUUUAUUAACAAUGAUUAAUUAUUCAUUCUCCUGUGUUUCUAUCUCUAUUUAUAAUUUAAGGCCCGUUUGUUUUUUAUUAAUUUAAGAAUGAGAAUGAAAAAUAUAAUCGUUACAGGCUCCACACAAGAUAUAAAAAUUUAAAUAUGAUAGUUUGAUGUGAUAAAUUAUGAUCAUAUUUUUUAUUUUAAUAGUGAAAUAAUGGGAAACAAACAUGGACUAAAUAUAUUAUGAACAACUCUUAAACAUAUUUUAAAUCAACAUUGAUAGGUCAAAAGAAGAAAGGUAAUUGUGCAAUCGUUGGUUUGUUUUACUUCUCAAACAAAGUUAGGUGAAAGAAAAAAGGGCAAAAAAAAAUCUCGAGUAGAUUAGAUAACUGAGGAAAGGAUACAAAAGAUUUUAGAUUUCCCCAAAAAUAAAAAAUCCAAGUGAGCCUUCUGCUACAAUCUACAUCGUUUCUUCUUAGAAUCUUUGGCCCCAUACUUUUGCAUCACUCGGUUUGCCUUGCCAACUCAAACAAAGGUGAAUCCCUUUUUACUUGUUAAAAAGUAAAAAUUUUAUUGUCGGGCCCCCAUUAUUUACAAUUACUCUCACUUACAGGUCUUGGUUUGGUGGAAGAAGUGAGUCAUUCUUGUUGAUGGGUUUUGAUUUCUGACCCAAAAAUUGGAGCUUGUUUUGUUGAUGGAUUUUGCAGCGCAGAGAUUUCUGGCAGAAGGGUGUGCAUUGGGUUUUCUUGAUGUUUUUUGUUGUUCAUCUGGAAGUUCAAAGGAUUUGACAAAGUCUUCAUUUCGGUUCUGACUUUGAUACUGAUAUAAGGCUACUUUUUUGUUUUUGAAACAUUCUAAAUCUUUUUUGUCUCUGUUUAAUAGGUAUUAAGAAAUUGUGUAGUUGACAAUUAUUUUAUCAGAGGCGAGGUGGUUUCAUUUUCCUGAUUUGUAUGCUGAGUUAUUAUUUUUUCAUAUAGAUAGUCUAAAUUGACUGCAAUUGGGGAUUUUUAUUUGAAGAAUAUAGGAAAAAAGAGCACGUAACUUGGUGCUUUCUUGUUCUUACGUAUCACUUUUUAUUCCUCCACUUUCAUCUGCAUUUUGUCCCAGACAUUGGUUUUACUGGUUGGGUUUCUCGUUUUCUGAUUAAUGGAAAUUCUUUUGGGGGUUAUGUUGCUCUGAAUUGAAAGAGAGUGAGUUUUGAGGCGGCUAGAAAAUGGAUGUUUGGGUUGUUGCUGCAGCAGCUGGUGCUGGGUAUUUAGCUCAGCAUUUGAAGAAUCUUUCGCUGGGUAAACAUUAUUCGUCAGAUUUAUCUUCAGCUAAUGCUAAUUUUGAUAGAUCGGAACCUGUUGAAGACAAGCACUGCUCCUUCCGCAGUGUCUUAGGAAAAAAUAAGCUUGUGAAAGAUGGUUGCAGAGAAGAUACUAAGGUUUCUCAAGAGGCUUCAGCAGCGGAAAUGGCUUCUACAAGUGGGUUUGGAGGUGAAAAUACGGUAGAAUUGGAAAACCUAAUGAUUUGCUCUCCCAAUUCAAAUUUAUUACCGGUGGUUUUGAACAAUGAAGAUGUGCUAGAGGAUUGGGAAGGCAGAGGACAGAACAUUGAUGAGGUUCAUAGUGAUUUAUCAUGUCAACUAUCUGCAAGAGAAAUGAGUUUUUCUUAUGGCGUUGAGAGAAAGAGAAGUAGACUUAGAACUAGACGAACUAACAGACGAUUCAUAAAACCCUUAACAUCUCUUGAAAGUUGUCUCCUGGCUCAGUUAUACAAGGAGCAUUCGGAAAUUGAAGAAUACACCUUUAGUUCAACUCAUUCACCACGCAAACCAACUGUACGACCAUUCGUAGUUACUGAUGGGAGCAGAAUAAUCAGCAGGGCUUGUCAUGAAUCCUUUAAUUCUUCAACUGGAACAGGGAAAUAUAACUUGCACAAAAGUACUUAUUCACAAGAUGGGGAGGUUGUUCUAGGAAUUCCCGGACUACCUAAAUUUGCAUUAAUGAAGUGCCGUAAUAAAGCUAAAACUGGAAAGGAGAAGGUUGCAAGAUCGAGCAAUUCUAGUAGAAUGGUCAAAGGAAAUACCAAUAAUUCUCCUGAAGGUACUAAUCUUGCUCAUGUAUACUCUGUGUGGGGUGCUGUUAAACACACUGUUUAUUUUGUUGGGUGUGUUUUUGUUUUCUGUAAUUGAAGACAUUUUGCCACCACUAUAACCAUUUGAAAUUUUUUCUUGUGGAAACGUUUUGCUUUUGCCAUUGUGUGCUCAGACAGGUUGGUAAGUUAGACUUGAUUGCUUAUCAUGCUGAUAAAAUAUUUCUUGUCUAACAUUCUGUGUUUGAUUAGGAUCAUCUGGUGGAGCUCUUAAUUUCUAUCUUGGACUCUCUGUUGGAAUAAUAUCUUCUUUCUUGGCACAUAAAGGGGAAAUAGAAAAACUGAAUACCUUGUUAAGGCAGACUGAGAACCUGGUUCAAGAUCUGCAGGAAGAACUUGAGAUGAAAGAUUUGUUGACUAUGAAAGAACUCUCUGUAGAAAAUCAUGAAUCACAGGAUAUACACAAUGACUAUUACUACAAAGAGGCAGUGAAUGCAUUAUCCCCAGAACAGAAAGUGGACAACUCAACAGAGUAUUGUCGUGAAGAAUAUGGUGACCAGAACGUGAAGGAAAUAUCCUUGAGUAACAUUGAAUCAGAGCUUGAAGCUGAGCUGAAGAGGCUGGAAUUGAACAUGAGUUCAUCUAAGUUGGAAAAGAAAAUAUCUAAGUUAGCAGAGGUGAGUAUGUUGCACAAUCUUAUGUUUGCAUGUGCAUUGCCUUCCUCAUACAAACGCGUAUGAUUGAAUGACUUGAUGAUUUACUCACGUGCUUUUGGCUUUCAGCAUCCAUCAAUUACCACUGAGCUAAAUGUUGAUUUCAAUAUUCAUUGAGCAUUAAUUUAACAAUGUUUCGUGAAUGUUUUAUGUGAUAAGACUUAAGAGGUUGGGCUAAUGUGUAAAUUUUCACACUAUUAGCUGCCAGACACCUAGGGAUUCAGAGGGAUUCUUUAGCCAUUUUUCCUAUUCUAUUUAAUGUUCUAGAAUUUGUUCUUUCUCAUCUUUAUUGUAAGAUUACCUUUUCCUUUUUCUGUAAAAUAGCCAUUACUUGCAAAAUGUUGGGCUAAAAUCAAAACUAGGACUUUCUUCUUGAUGAUUAUUGCUGCUAAAACAUUUGCCACCUAAGUAAUCCAUAUCCAUUUACCCAUCACCGUCUUAUCAUUGUCAAAUAUCGAGUGGACCACUUAUCAUUGUAUUUCCACUCAAGCAUUUGUGUACCGGACAUGCAUUUAUAAUUUUAUCUCAUUGGCCACCUUCAUAUUUCCUUCUGAAUUCUCUUCAUAAGUUUUCCCCUAUUAUUUAAAUUUUUGGGUGUGCUAGCUUGUGAAUUCAAGAAACUGUGAUUUUUGACUGGUUAGAUAGUUAAAACUCUAGAGUAGGUCUUAACAAAUACAAGCUUCACUUUAAGUUUCUUAAGGUCUAAUUUUUUGUCAGAUUUUCUAUAUUCUUUAACUUAGGUUCUUAAAAUGUGAGACGUGUUUGUGCCUGGAGUGGAUUUGAUGCAAGUGUCAAGCUAAGCUUCUUUGGGUUCUCCAUUUAUUCUGUGUUACAGAAGUACUCAGUCAGAAUGGCCGUUUUCUCAUUCUUUUUGCAUGGUGGUUUUGAAGUGUAGAAUCUGGCCCUUUGUUUAAUUUUACAGCCCACCCCACGGUUAAGUUUUAUUGGUUUUACUUUCAAAUUCCACGCUUAUCUGUCUACUUUGGGUUGCUUGUUUACAGUAACACAGGUCCUUCAAGAUUCCUUGCUGAAAGGAUCUAUACGUAUCAUGAGUUGUUUGGAAGACAUUUUGUGAUUUUUAAUGGAAAGAAGAAAAGCAUGUGCUUAUAUGUGAUGUCUGGCUGGUAGUCCUCCCUGUUUUACAUCGAAAGUUGAAUCUUGUCAUUUCAUUUUUCCACAUAUGACCUUUGUUGGAUACAGUUUGAUGCCAUAUUAUUGAUGGAAACAUGCAGUAUAUAAAACUGUGUCAUGGUUUUAUUUUCUCUGGUUGAAUGACAUUGUAGGUUGACAAAGAUUUCAUAGCAGACGUUGUUGAGGGAGAGUUGAGAGGUGACUUGUUUGACAAACCUUAUGUUGAUCAGGAUGAAAAUGGUUGCUCGACCCCCUGCUCCAUUAACCAUGCGGUCUCCCCAAGAGAGCUGAGUUUGCGGUUACAUGAAGUCAUUCAAUCCCAACUUGAAGAACGUGUCAAGGAGCUCGAGACUGCACUUCAGAACAGUCAGAGGAAGAUGAAAUACGCUGAAUCCAAGAAUGCACCGUGUUGGAGCGAAUUUUCUAACAACGGAGCAGGAUCUUAUGAAGAGGCAUCCACAGACGAGCCUGCGAUUAUAAAUUUAUCGGGGGAAGCUCUAGCUGCAUACAAUGAGGCUUAUGACGAGUUUGUGAAGGUAACCGAGUCGGAUGAAGAGGACACGCCAUCUGGGCUCGAGGAUGGCAAUGAGCAAGAAAUAUUUCAGGAUGGGCAGCAGGUUCAUAAUGGCAGCUCAAACCAUUACACACGACAUUCGUUUGUUAAUGGAAGUCCACCAUUGUUACCGAAUCAUAGAAAAGACAUUGUGUACAGCACAGAUGAGAAUGAAGAUGAUGAAGAAGAGAUCGAGAGGAUGUUGAUAAGGCAAAUUGUAGAGAAAGCUAGGAAAGGCUCUCCUGUAAUUUUAAACGCUCAAAGAGCAUUGUUGUCAACUGAUGAAUACCAACAUUGAAAUAAAAGAAGAAAAGAAAGAGAAUUUCCAGAGAGGAAUUUCUAGCCUAUACUUAUUUUUCUUAAUUUUUUGAUCAAGAUAUAUAUUUGCUUACAUUACUUAAAACAGAAGUUGUACUUAAUAACUAAUGACUAUGGUCCCUUGUUACAGCUACUCCUAGUCGUGCCCUCAUUUUUGGCUUACCAUAUUCUCGAACCCCCCACCCAUUUCCUUUGGAAGGGACCAGUGAACUGUUUCAUUCUACCAUUUUGACAGAAAAUGCUCUUAAUAGACAGACAAAGAGGUAAAUCGAUAGAUGAAAAUGGUCCCACAGAUUUUAUGUGUAAAAGUUAGAAGGCUUUGUCAUUAAUGGGAGAGUAGCAACUAAUAAAACCACCGAAAUAUUUGGGAUUUCAAAAGGUAUAACAUAUAACAAGAAAUGUGCAAAAUGUGCAAUUUGCUAAACUAUCAUACUGUAGUGCCAGAAUAACUAAUAUAACGGUUGACAUAAUGCCAUUUAAUAUUAAACGGUUUAAAAUAGUCAUUUUUUUCAUGAAAUCAUUUUUAAUCCACAUAUGAAUCUAUCAACCCUUCUAUCAUAAUUCAUUAGGCAGAGUAGUUUAAUCCUAUGCCAAGCCCUCGGCAAACAAAAUGUAAAUAUCUCAUUCACGCUCAAGAUUCCCAAUUAAUUUUAACUCAGUCCCCUCUUGAUAGCAAUUUUUCACCCCAAAAGAUUAAUUUUCUAACCGUUAUUUCACCAUUCCAACAAUCAUUUUUAAUUUCUUCACUCACAGAUGAGAUUCAAUUUUCUCUUUAAUGGUCAAAAAAUCAAUUUUUAUAAUCACUACCGAACAGACUCUUAUUCUUAUCAUUGCAAAACUGGACAAGUACAAGAUUUUAGGCUACAAUUUAAAACCUCACUACACAACUUCCUGAAGCGAGUUGCCUCGUGAGCGUCCUUUAGCCUUCAGGAAAACGUGCCAUGUUAAGACCUAACUUUUUAUUUAAAAAAAAAAAAAAAAAANNNNNNNNNNNNNNNNNNNNNNNNNNNNNNNNNNNNNNNNNNNNNNNNNNNNNNNNNNNNNNNNNNNNNNNNNNNNNNNNNNNNNNNNNNNNNNNNNNNNNNNNNNNNNNNNNNNNNNNNNNNNNNACCAGUCCUGUCAUUUGCAUAAGCCACCCUUACUCUACGACCGUGAAGAUCCUAAAGGAAUUUCACAAUGAAAUAUCAGUCAAAAUGUAUGACCAAAUAAAAUCAAGCCAAACCCCAAGAACGUCUACUAUACAACGUGGGGUUUAACCUUUUCCAGUCGAAAAGAAAAAUUGAAGAAAAUAAAUAAGUAACAAGUUGAGGAUACCUGUUGAUCCAAGGCCUGGAUGGCAGCAGAUGCAUCCUCAACAGUAGAAAAUGUAACAAAGCCAAAUCCUCUAGAUCUGCCAGUAUCACGAUCAACAAUCACCCUUGCUACAAGAAAUAUCAGGUUUUUCAGCAUCAUUUGAAGUUAGUUUUCAACUUUCUAUUCCACUUAACUCCCAAAACAAGGAUAAUCAAUUCGAGAUAAAUGAUUGUCCGCUAAACAAGAGAAAUAUAUUUUAAAGAUUCUCCAACUUGUUUAACAUUCAUCUUUAAGUAUCAAAAUGUAAAGAGUAAUUGCUGCAACAGAUAAAUUUGCAAUUCAGUCCAACAACAUAGUUCUAUAACAAACAUUAUUACCUUUCCUUUAACAAAGUCAUAAGAAUAAUUUCAUGCCUGUGCAGCUGUGCCAACGUCAAGAAACGUGCAUGAGGUGAUUGCAAAUUGUAAUUCUCUAAAAUUAACCAUUCAAAGAAAUAAAAUGAUCACCGAAAAACAAUACACACCUACACGUGUAAGCACUAGUGGUAUUUAAGUAAAACACCAAUGUAUACAAGUUACAACAUAAAUAAAUUGGAUUAUAUAAACACUCAAGUCCACUCAGAAUCCUUUCAGUUUCAGUUAAAUGGUAUUCUGCAAAAAUAUGAUUUUACAGAACAUAAGUUUUAUUAAUUUAUCAAAACAUAAGAAACUGUGUUAUUUAGGACUAGGAACUAAUAAAGAAGCAAAAUUUAAUUAUUCUUACAUGUCACCAAUUAACCUUUUUGAGAAGGGUUUAACUUUUUCAAUAAGUAUACAGCGCUUAUAUUUCAUUCAAUUAUCUAUUUAAAGACAAGCAACUACCAAACAUGUAAAGUGUUAACAUCGAACAUAUAAAGAUAGAAGGAUCAAUGAUGCUUCUAAUAAUUUUCUUCAAUACCCAUGACAUGAAUGGCACAAAUUAUGUCAAACGAACACACCAUCAUCAAUAACAAUCUGGCUACGCAUAAGUACCUUCAGCAACUUCUCCAUACUUACUAAAAGCCUCUGUCAGACCUGAGUCAUCUGUGCCGAAUGAGAGUCCUGCAAAAGCCAACAGAAUGUGAAUACUAAUCUAAAACCCCCAUAAUUUCAAAAUAAGUAUUAUGAACAGAAUAUUGUACCUCCAAUAAAGAUUUUUGAGGUUGACAUGCAUCUUAUUGCUUGAAAGACGGAGGAUUGGGAUGCUGAGAUUUCCUGACUGAUGCGAUUACUCACAGUCCGGCUUAGUAUAUUACCAGCUUUUCUAAGGAAGGCCAUUGCUCAGACCUAAAAAUGGAAUCAACAUUGCCUAAGAAAUACAAUAUACAGAGAAUCUCUGCCAACCUAAUUUAGAUUCAGAAUUCUCAAGGACAAAUACUAUUUUUCAGUUCUGAAAGAUUAGGCAAUAGAGCAAGAUGAGCACAUGAUUAACGUAACAACCAGACUCAGGAAGAACAUAUAUACGAGAUUCUGUUUUUCAUCUUUUCAACAUAUAAAAUCUCAAAAAGAGCGUUCUUUUUAUUCUGGGGGAAAAAAAAAUUGAAGAACCAGAAAGAAAAAAAAGGGAGGAUAUUGUUUACAAAAACGUAUUCAUCUACUUGCAUUUCAUGUUUAAGUUCCAAUUACUUGCUCAAUUCUCCGUACAGUACUUGAGCAAAUUCAAAUAUAGAAAUCUACCCUUAUUUUAAAAUUUCCGCUUGACAAGGCCUUAUAUAGCGUAUUUUUGCACUUAAAAAGUUUCACAUAUUCACAGGUGCAGGCAAAUAUAUAGUAUUAUUACACAAAUAUCACAAAAACAAGAAUAUAAGUACCAGAAUAUUAAUAACUUUGUUUUAUGUUAUUUUUUAAGAUAUUACAGAGACAACCUAUUUCAUAACAAAAAUGUAAACUUCAAAAUACAUAAAAGACUACUCACCAGUAAUCAUAAGCACAGUCAAUUUCAUAAUCAAACCGAAAAUAGUCACUGCAAUAUCACUAAAAAGAACAUAUCCGAAAACAUACAACAUUGAAUAGCAUAGUGACAAUCAAGUAAGGAUAGGGAAAAUCUUACCUUUUGAUGUGCUGUAUCUAAAACCCUAGAGAAUGACGAGGGUUUACCGAGGACAGAGAAAAUGGAAUUAGGGUUUAUACGCGAUGGUAUGUAUAAGAAUGAAAUGAAUGAAUGAAUUUCCAACGUUGAUCUUUCACCAAGAGAUGUGGACCGUUAGAUAGAUAUUUCCUCUAUAUAUGGAACUGGGACUUGGGCCGGGUCGAAUGAAUGAUAUUACCGUCAUUUGACUCAUCAAAAUUUAGACAUUAGCAUAUUUAUUUCAAAAUAUCGAUUUAACAUAUAUUUUUUUUGCAAAACAUGAAGGAAGGUGAGUAUACAAGAAAGAAUUACUUAUACCAAAAAAUGUAAAAGGUGUAUAACUUUCUAUUUAAGCAAUUUAUGUACAUACAGAUAAUUUGAUUCCUUUUCAUAUAGUAAGUCGAGACGAUCCAUUCAAUCUCCCACCACUAUAAGAAUUUACUAGAGGCAAGGCGUGGAUCAUGCAACUAGGGGUGGAGCCAUGUACAUUUCAGUGCACUCAACUUUGGGCUGUCCCAGUUAAAGAAUUAUGUAAGAAAGAGUGAUUGGGAGAAAAGUUGGUCGGAGAAAUAGUAGUUGGAAGAAAAAUUACUAAACUGAUUGCCAUUGUUUUCUUUUUAUAAAAGGCCUAGUGAAAGAUCUUGGUUAACUAAUCUGGUUCCUAAACAACUUUUAUAGGCUUUUUACGAGUCACUUUGUUAUAAAGAGAAUUUUUUUACACUUCAAAUUUAAUAAAAAAUUUUGCCUGCACUGAAAAAUUUUUCUGGCUCGCUCCUACAUGCAACGUGGAUAAAAUAUCCUCAUCUACUUUCUUUGUUACUUAUUUAUUUGUUUUAAUUUUUUAAAAUUCGAUUUAAAUUUAAAUGAAGAAAAAUAAUGUAAUAAAAACAAGAAGUCAAGAACCAAGGUAGGAAUGGUAAUGAGUAAAAUGAGUGUAAUCAUUAAAAAAAAAAAGAAAAAAGAAAAAAAGAAAAAGAAAAAGAGUAUAAUUGAUUAUUAAUUAUUUUUUUUAGGAAAGUGCAGAAAAUAAAUAUUUUUUCAAUAGGAUAGUGUUCUAAUUGAGGAAAAUUAAGAAGUGUGUCCUUUAUACUUUUAGGGAAAAGGUCCAAAACCUUUCAAAAGCGAGUAAAUUAUGUUUAAAUCUUUUAAUCGUCGAAAAUAAUCUCCAAACCUUUCAAAAAUGUACGACAAAGAGACCUCCUAAUGAUUUUUCGUCCAAAAAUUUUUUAGUUGACCAUAACCAAUCCAAUGAAGGGAAAAAAAAAUCUCGUUACCUUUUUCAAAAAAAAAAAAAAUACUCAUCUUCUUUCCCCUCCCAUCCAAGCCAAUCCAAUCAAGCCAACCCACAGGACACAUCUUCUAGUGGUAAAAAGGGAGGGUGGAAAAAUCCAACUUUGCUUGAGGCUGUUAGGUUAAGGGUUUGAAUCCUGAAAUAUGGAUUUGGCUCUUGGGUAAGUGCAAGUGUACAAGCAGCCUUCCACCCUCUACCCUUAGAGGCAUAAUCUGCGAUUUACCUCCCUCACGAUACUCCAGGACAGGCGCGGUGGGAGACUGGGUUCAACCUUUUUUCAAUCCAAUCAAACCAAAUUCACCUGCUCCACGCUACUUUUUACUGUUUAAUUUUAUCAUCCUCCCACAGCCAACAAUAGAGGAAUAAAUUGCAUCCAACUUGGGAAUACAAUGCCACCGCCAUUUAUACGACCCUAAUUGACCAUAAAAACCCAUCUAAAAAUUCAACAAAUGGCUCUCAUUUCAUCUUCCACACUAUUUGCUUCAUUUCAUCUUCCAUGAUAUAUGUUGCAGAAUGUGAAAUUUCAAGAAUUUCAUGUGCGAAACUCAGCUGAUUUCGGCAUAUGAAAUUGGGACUCGAUGGAGGCGGUGGUAGUGGCGGGCGUAGGUGGGGUAGCAUGGUCGAAAAGAAGAUGACGAAAUUACUAUUUUAAUUUCUCCUCUGUUCCCCUCUCUUUAUAUAUAUUUAGAGGUCUUCCUGUCGCACAUUUUCUGAAAGUGUUGGGGCUAUCUAAUGCAAUUUAAAAGUUUGGGUGUAAUUUUGCAUUAUUUUGAAAUGUUUGAAAUUUCUACCAUAAAUUUUCCUACUUUUUAUUUACUUUUUGAUGAAUAUAUAGUUUUCCAAAAAAAUUUGCUAAGUGUACAUCCUUUGGGACAAUAUCAAUAAUAUUUCUACUUAUUUUAAAGUAUCUUUAAGAGACUCUAUUUUUAAAGAGUAUAUUCUAUUAUUUAGAGUGCAUUUAUAAAUUUAGAGAAUUAAAAUUUUAAAAUACUAUAAUCACCUCUUUAUAUUUAACACUUAAUUUUACAACUCUCCAAAAAUAUUUAUUAUUUUUAUCUAUUUAUUAUUUUAACUAGCUUUUCUUUAAAUUAUUUUAUUAUUUUCCUACACUGAAAAUUGAAACAAUUUGAAUGCAUUUAAUUAUAGAGAGACCUACUCUCUAACUUAAAAUUCAUAGUCAAUUAUUUUAAGGAGGAAUAACAAUUAAUUUUAAUUAAACAAAAUAAAAAAAUGAAUGAAAAUAUAAACAAGUUAUUGUACACAAAAAUUAUCAUAGUCUACCUAAAUGCCACAUCAGCCAGAAAAAGGACCUCAUUGCUUGUUCACGUCAUGUAAUCCUUAUUUAUGCCUCGAUCACCGUGGCCAGAGAUGGCCUGAGGUCGUGCAAGUUGAGCGACCGCACAAAGCCUUAACAUUAUAGGGACACCAAAUUUAUAUAUAUGUUGAAGAACAUAUUUAUAAUGGUACAUAUUUUUUAUUAAUUUUAAGAUUUAAAAUUUUUAUUAUUAUAUAAAGUUAAAGGGCACAAUACUUACCAAAAAUGAUCUCGGACAUAAACGAGACAUCUCAGUUCUCACUGUGAAUUCUACUAGCGUAGGUGAAACAUCUAACUCUAAGAAAACCAAAAAUAAGCAUAUGCUCGGUAUAAGUCGUCUUAACAAUUCAAUUACCCUACUGUAUACGGGAUGUGGCAGAGUAAAAACUCUACAGCUAUAAACACAAGUUUGGACUGCAAAUAAUUUUAGACAGAAUUUUAAGACAAAUUCAUCACAUUAUUUUACUAAUUACAACAGAAGGAAAGAGAGAAAUACUGUUUAAAAUUGUCGCCUCCUUCAUCCGGGAUGUUUCAACGACUUCUGUGAAUUAUCAAGCAGAUCCAAGAUGUAAGAUUCCAAGUCAUGUACAGUGUACUUAAGGUACUUUUCACCAAUAGAAUUGGUAAUGUUGCCAACAAAGUUACGGUAUGCAGGAAUAACUCUCUGUGAAAUCGAGAUCCUUAACUCUUCGCGAAGUUUAAGGUUAGGGACGUACCAUGCUGUCUGUAUCUUAUACACAUCCUCAAAAGCAAUACUGAAAUCCCGGCAUCUCUCUUUUAGAGUUGCCUUUCCGGUUUUCCCAUCGUCCCUUAUCCUUAUCAAGCUAAGAAUAGAGUUCCACGUGAAUCUCUCAUAGCUCAUAGCAUGCCGCCGGUAUUUUGCAAUAUGUUCACGAAUCCAUUCAUCACCGAAAUAUCUCCUGACUUCGGAGCUCUUGAUCUUAUCGUACAUGUAAUGGAUGUUAUUCAUCACAAAUAUAUACUUUAAAGAAGUAUUUAUGUAUAGAUUGGAGUUAAUGUCAAGGUUGGCUUCUAGAAUUGAUGUCACCGACUGCAGGUGAACAGCUACUGGGCAAGAGAUAGUCGUCUGCCCAAUGUUUUCAUUAGAACCCAUAUCCAAAUUUACCCCAUCUUUCUCUGCAAGAAGCAAAUUGAGGGUAUCACCAUACUCUACAAGACACAGGAUGUAGUUCACUACAUACUUGGUUAGGGGGUGGAUGCCACCAUUUGCAAAAGGUGUUCUAGAAGCACGAGAGGCAAUGUGGUUGCCGAACUCCAUAAAGAUGGCCUUUGCAGAAUCCCCAAGUCUCCUCAAAAGAUCGUGAAAUUCGAUCCUAAUGGAACGCCCAGCCUCUUCUGGAAACAGAGAUUCUACAUCUGAAAUUAGAGAAGCUAAAACCUCGUACAUAUCGAGUAAGCAAUAAAGCCGUUCUGGUCGAUGUGGUCCAAUUGCAACAGCAUGGCCAAAGUUCAACAGGCAUAAGAGAGAAACCUUCGAAGCCUCAACUAAGCUAGUCGAACUAAUAGUUCCAUAUUCUCCCAGAACUUGGUCGAAUAAGCGUUUCUCACUAGCAAGAUAGAUCCCAACAACAUUCUUUAUUGCUCGACGCCAUUUCCUGAUUCUGGAGUUCAAACAUUUCCACUCCAUUUUCAGCACAUCCUCAACGCUGAAUUGUUCCACAUUCAAAAUCAUCAUAUGCUUAGCCAAUUCAUCUCUCCAGAAUCGAACAAAAGCCUGACAAAAUUCAUGAUCAUAAUGUGAAGCAAACAUAAUGUUUGCUAUAGACGCGAUUUUAGGAAUGACAUCUGGAUGGACCAAAUCCAUUACAUAUUCCUCAGUUUCUGUGCUGCUGCUCUCCCUCUGAGACAUAUCCUCUUGCACUGAAUCUCCCCCAUUCGAAACAACUGAUUCCUCGUAUACAGAAUUUUCUUCACAAGUGGGGUAGAACAUGUAUUCUUGCUCAAAAUGUUGUUUACUCUGAGCAAGAAUAUGGACCAGUUCGUCUUGGAGCCUUGUCAUUGCAAUCUGCAAUGUACAUUGAGCUCGAUCCAACAGGUCCCUCUGUUUCCAAGUUUUCUUGGAGGGGUAACUUUCUAAAGUUUCUAUCAACCUCCGAACCUCAUCAACAGCCUGCAAAUAUUCUGAAACUAUCGCGGGACUGGAAUUCCAAAUCCUCAAGUGAUUUGAAUGCAAUCCCGUGAUCUUUUCCUGAGAUGACCGGAGCCUAUUCUCAAUGUCUCUAGUCUUCUCGACCUCAUUCUCACCGACUGUGGUCAUCGUGGACAAGUGAGCGUCAAGAUCUGCCAGAAGUCUUCUCACAUCAUUACUGAAAUUCAAAUUCUUAGUAGCCUCAAGCGCCUUCACCACGUGAUAGGCUGCAGCAAUCACGUGUUCUUCCGCAUCACCCAUUUUCAAGAAUAUUCUCAAAUGACCCAACAAAAAUUGUAGAACAAGAACACCUUUUUUUGUUGGAUGAUAGCAAAACAAAUUGAUUUUAAGGCUUACAGGUCUUCAGUCAAUACUAGCUUGAAUGCAGAAACACGUGAAUAAGAAGACCAAAAAGACUCCUAAUAAUUUCCAAUCUAAACCGUAAAUCUCACUCAAAUUUUGAAGAAACAAAGACCAUUCCAAUUUGAACAAAUCAAUGAAUAAUAAUAACAAUAUUGAAAAAAAAAAUGAAGAAGAAGAAGUUCAGGGUUUCUUCCUCUUUAACCCUUUAGUGUUCAUCAUACUAACACACUGAUCAAAUUAAACACAAACUGUGAUUUCCACAAAAAUUUCAAAGUACAAAAGCUAACAAUCAUCUAAUCACAACCCAUUAAAGCAAAUACGAUUACAGGAAGUAAAUAUGUAAAUUAAAAACGAAGAUUAAGAGAUAAACUUUAAACCUCAAGAAUUUGGCUUGUUUCUUGAACUUCCAUGAAUUAGAACGAUCACACAAAAUCAACAACUGGGACACAGAGAAAGGCCAAGAAAAGGUAUAAAGAAACUUCUUACGCGUUUUCCUAGAAAACGAGAUUUUUCUAAUAAAAAAUAGGGCGCAAGUACUAUGAGUGGUAGAUGAUUUGACAAGCGGCUCCUUAAAGUGGACGAAUAUGCAUGGUGUAACAUCAAAAGCAUUUUCUUUGUAAUUACUUGUAUGAAUUGUUUAAUAAUUGUUACCAUGACUUAUGUGGGAGACCAAAAUUAUAGUAGAAAAGGACCCUCAUUUUAAUUUCUUGCAAUUGACUCUUGAUUGGCAAGCAAAGUUCUUGACCACCAAGUUUAGAGGUGCAUUAAAAGAUGUACGAAUAAUUGUAUUUUUAGGCCCUGUUUGAGCCCAUUAUUUUUUAAUUAAAAUGAAAAAUAUGAUCGUUAUCCAUCACAUCAAGUCACCAUAUUUAACUUUUUAUCUCUUGUGUGGAAUCCAUAACGACUAUAUUUUUCAUUCUCAUUUUUAAAAUAAUGUGGCUCAAACAGGGCUUAAUCUAUUUAUUUUGCAAGAAUUUUAUUUUUUAAUUUUACAUCCAAACGAAUAAUUUGAUUAAUUUAAAUCAUUGUUAAUUGCAAUAAAUUCAACUAAUAGAAUUGGUAAACAAGCAUGAGUUGCGGUGUUGGGACCGAUGAAGACAAUGCAAGAAUUGAGAUUUGAUUAACCCAAUAUGAAGUAUAAAUAAAGAUCACAAAAUAACCAAGAACAAAAUUAAAGUAAAAGAUGCAAAAUAAAAGGAAACUGGCAGAGGAAUGAUGUUAUUUUAUUCAAUCACUAUGAAAGGAGAGAAUUACAGCAAUUGGCUUAAACUAAAUUGAAAGAAAAGCCACGUAUUUAUAGUACACGAGUCAAAUGUUAAAACUAGGAAAAAAAUCACGUAAAAGAAAAGGACGUGUCACGCGUCCAACAAUUUUCUUUCCUUUCUUUACGGUUUCAAAUUGUUCCAUUCCUAAUCUUGGAUUCCAAUUGAUUCUUUCCAUAUUUCUUGAAUCCUAUUGAUUAUUUCCUAAAAUCAAAUGGCUCCAACAAGAUUUCUUUCCAAAAUCCAAGAUUGUCAAAUUUCGAGACACAUAUUUAACAAUCUCCACCUUGAUUUGAGAUUCCUGUGCAACGAACGAUGCUCCAAAUUUCUCCACCUUGAGAAAUGAUCCGUCUGGAUCAGAAUAACCAAGCUCCUCAACACAGUAACCAAACUCUCCACGAAAACACGUUCCCUCGCCCGGUGUCCACAUGCGACACUCGAAACCAAACUCGGGUUCCCAAAAUUCACCUGAAAUUAAUAAUCACUAAACAGGGUCGAAGCACACCCUGUAACAAAAACCACACCAAAUGCACGAUCAGAAGGCCCCUUGUUAGAACUGUCACCUUCAAUGAUCCCUAAGGCAUUACAGACAUUAUUGACACCACUAAACCUACGCUCCAUGAGUCCACCAGCACAAGAACAAAGUGUAUCUACUGAAAUUGGUGGCAAAGCAGAAUCACCAACACUCCCACGAGCAAAGUUCGAAACUGGCCCAGAGCCUAACACAAUAGGUAAUGUACCAAACUGAAUUUCCACCACGGUACUAAACUUGUUCAAAUGUCUCUGAACUGGUUCUGCGCUUCCCUGCAAAAUGUACAACUGGGAUCUCAUCCGUCCCUCCAGUACAACCCGAACACCUUUCUGAACUUUCAGAACUCCACCUCCACCAGAAAAUUUAUACCCUUUUGCAUCCAGGGUACUCAGCGAUAUGAGAUUCUUUGUCAAGUUUGGAACAUGGUGAACCUGAUCAAGUGUCCUCACUGUCCCAUCUUAUAGCCUCAAUCUGACCCGACCGAUUACGGCAACCCGACAAGAUUGGUUGUUUCCCAUGACAACUUUACAUUGCUUCACCGCCUCAUAUGUCUAGAAUAACGCCCUAUUGGAACACAUAUGAUACAAACAUGCAGAAUCCAGAAUCCACUUCUCAGGUUUGGAUUCCCCAUCAAAUAUAGCCAACAUCACAUCUCCAACAUCAGAAAUUUUUUUAACUACAUUGGUUUCGUCCGAAUUACAAGAUUGCCCCGAAUGAUUUGCAUGUAAAUUACAUUUACCCUGCAACUUGUCGCAAUCUUUCUUGAUGUGUCCUUUCUUCUUGUAAUAAUAACAAUACACAUUGAUGUACCUCACAUUCGACCUACCCCUCCGUCGAUCACAAUGAGUAACAAGAGCAUCCCCACUCCUAGAUGUAGGAUCUCCAACUAACAGCUUCAUCCUCUCCUUUGAGAACAAGGCUUCAUAUACCUCCUCAAUGGUAAGCGUGUCACGACUAUACAUAAUAGUAUCACGAAACGACGAAAAAAAUUGGGUAGCAAACACAACAGGAUCAAGGCCAGAUCCUCUUCAUCAUAUUUUACCUCCAACGUCUCCAGAUCUGCAACGAUUUCCUUGAACAUAGCAAGAUGGUCCUGCAGUGACCCUCCUUCCGCCAUGCGAUGGGAACACAACUUUUGCUUUAGAGUCAGCUUGCUCGUCAUACUCUUUGUCAUGUACAACUGCUCCAGCUUGAGCCACAAAGCAACUGCUGUCUUCUCCUUUAAGACAUCUUGCAGUAUAUUGUUGGACAAAUGAAGAUGAAUCAAUGAUGUAGCCUUCCUAUCCUUCCGUUGCUUCUCCUCCAUACGCCAAUUUGCUGGCAUCUUCUCAAAGCUCAGCAAAGCAUCAUCAAGUUCCAUCUGCGUCAACCCAACCCUCAUCUUUACUUGCCACAGCGAAAACCUUAUAUUGCGAUCCAGCAGCGGGAUAUCAUACUUCAUCGAAGCCAUCUCUGAAAACUUCAAUCAAAUCACGAAGAACUUGCAACCUUGCUCUAAUACCACUUGUUGGGAUCGAUGAAGACAACGCAAGAAUUGAGAUUUGAUGAACCUAAUAUGAAGUAUAAAUAAAGAUCACAAAAUAACCAAAAACAAGAUUAAAGUAAAAGAUGCAAAUUAAAAGGGAACUGGCAGAUGAGCGAUAUUAUUUUAUUCAAUCACUAUGAAAUGAGAGAAUUACAGUAAUCAACUUAAACUAAAUUAAAAGAGGAGCCACGUAUUUAUAGUACACGAGUCAAACGCUAAAACUAGGAAAAAAAUAUAAAAUUAAAAAAAAUCACGUAAAGAAAAUCACGUAAAAGAAAAAAACGUGUCACAUGUCCAACAAUUUUCUUUCCUUUCUUCACGGUUUCAAAUUGUUUCCUUCCUAAUCUUGGAUUCCAAUUGAUUCUUUCCAUAUUUCUUGAAUCCUAUUGAUUAUUUCCUAAAAUAAUUUGGCUCCAACAAGAUUUCUUUUCAAAACCCAAGAUUGUCAAAUUCUUGCCAAAUUUCGAAACACAUAUUUAACAGCAAGUAUAUGUGUUGCCUCAUAACAUGGAAUCAAACAAUAAGUAUGAUUGCAGACAUUAUAAUCCACGUAAUAAAGCUUCUCCAUCAAAUACAUCUGUCAUAUUUGAUACAAUAAUAUUCGACCUCAAAUUUUCCAUUAUACAAAAAGAAUCACUUUUUACAAUAUACUAUUUUAAAAUAUAGUCCCGCUACACGAACAGGGAUUGAGAACAGGAUUAAGUUCCAGACUGAUGUGGCAACAUUUGAAAAAAAAUAAUAAUAAAUUGCUUAUUGUUCGCACGUGAGGCACCAUUGGUUUUCCAUUUCCAUUUCCCCCAAAUAUUACCCCUUCCAUCUUCACCCAUUUCAACGCUCAAUCGGAGAUGACGUCGUGACUCCGGCAGCACUUCCACCGGCGAUUUCGCCACACCUCGGUGGAAGGUUUAGUCGUCGCUCCAACAGCUCAUUCGUGAAAGGUUUCGCCAACACACACAUGAAGAUCUCUGACCGUCGACGAACAUCAAACCACAUCUAAGAAUCUUGUUUUCUUUAGGGUUGUGUUCAAUGCAGUUGAAUUUUGGGUGCAAUACUUGAGAAGUGGGGUCUUUUUGAGUUUGUUGGCUGUUGAAUAUCUCUGAACAUUUAUUGAUUUGUACGCUUAUUUGCUUGAACUGAUAUGCUAGAGUGAAGUAUGUUUAUCUUCACACAGUAAGACAAGAUGGUAUGCAGUGGGCAUAAAGGAGGUUCACAUUUACAAGUGAGGAGGCUCCCAAGAACAUCAGUGUGCUUGUUUAUUUGGUGAAAACUUAAAAGAGGCAUAUUCAAAGAGAGUCAAACUUCACCAGUUUAAUAUUAGAAUGGAAGAUUGCUCUUUGUUAAUGGUCUACAGCUUUAAGAGUAUGGUUUUGAGAUAACAUCUCUAACUGUAAAAAUGAUGAUAAUUUCCAAAAAUAAGAACUCAAUUAGUUCCAAUAGUACAUGGCUAAAACACGAACCCAAUGCACAGACUCAUUUACAAAAAUUUCUACAAGAUUCAUUUUCAAACAAUAGCAUCCAAACAACUAUAAAAGUUUAGAAUACUAAGAACCGUGCAUUCCCAGUUAUACAACAGAAUCACCAUGUUUAGCCAGAGGUUGAGAUCGAAGCUGCCUUAAUGUUGGCAGUGACGGUGAAACGCCGUCAAGUGUGGUUCGAAAGUCGACGAUUAAACUUGCACAAUCGACAAAGGAAUUCGGCGGCGAAAAGACUAGCAUCAAGGUUGGAAUUUCAGUAACCUAGCAGGAAGAGCAGCUAUCGAGAUCGGAUGUCCAGUCGCUUUGCCGUUUCAAGGAUUUGAGCAGGGAGGUUUCACCUUGCAGAUGUUGGAGAAUUGGAGGAAAAGUAUUUUAGUAUUUGUUGAAUUAUUUGUCCAACUUUUUUCCACACACGUGCUGGCCGUGUCCAUUUCCC